AAGAACUUGUUUCGCGAGAUAGGAAAACAGUUUCGUUUGGAGAUUUCUCCCGAGUCCCUGCUUUCCACCUAUUACGGAACAGCAACAUCUUCAAGAGUCACCUUGUAAAACUCGACGUUCCUUCAAAAACUACUGUGCUUGCGCGAUCUAUCCACAAAUGUAAAGGGUUGCUAAUCUUGGAGCAGCGCCUUCAUCCGGUUGGGCAAGGUACGGCACUCUUGGUUACGUUUUAAGCUCAAGGGGAAAGAAACAGAUCACCGACACGAAAAGAUGGAGGCUGGACAAGUCAGCUGUGUGGCAACUCGAAGAGCUCUGGUUCUCACAGGCCAUCUCAAAGAGAUCGCCAAAGGGUCUUCGUUGGUGGUGCGCCAGCCGUGCCUGGAGUAUUCUCCUCCGGAGCUCAAUUCAGGUACUUUUUUUUCCCUUGGGUUCUUGGAUUUCCUUUCAUGUUUUUGAUCUUCCAGGAGAGCCCGCAUUUGAUAUAGAGUUGAUGUGGGGAUUGCUGGACGGGCACGAUGCUCAAACCCAUGCUUUUAUCUUCAGUCUCAUGUCUGACCGUGAGCUUUAUGGAAUGCUCACACAACGUUUUUUCAUGGCACUUCAAUGCAUAAUCAUCAUGUAUUGCAUUGCACUGCAAAAUUUAUUUGUUAAUUUAGGAUGCAUAGUGCACCUAAGAAUUGAAUGCUUUUGGCGUGAAGUAUGGACCAAAGAAGCUUGGUAUUCCAAAGGAAGGCUCAUGAAAAUGGAGCAAGAGAUCCAUGGCACAUAUACAGCAUCUGCAACAUGCUUUGUAGCUUUGUCUUUCAAGAUUGGAUAUAGGACCUCCUAGCUUGGAGCCUCCACAUGGUGAGAAUAGUGACAAAGAAGCAUGGAGGUUGGCUAACACAUGUUCUUGCAUAAGUUUUCCCAUUCUACUUUAAUUUCUUUCUUUUGAGCAUUUUACGAGGAUGUUGUAUAUUUGAGAUCACUGUCAGUUGGGACAUGUGGCAAUAUGUUGGAGAGUCAUAAACUCUAAUAGUGUAUGUUAUUAGGUAAAAAAAACUGAAUGUCACAAUCAAUGAUGAAACAUUUACAAAUUCUUGAAAUUCAAUAAUAAUUAAGUUUAAUAUGAAUCAUGAAUGUGAAACUAUAAAAUGUUUCACUAGUCUUUGCCACAUUUACCAUGCCAUCUAAAACCACUUCCAUGCUAAUCUUUGCCACAUCUACCAUGCCAUCUAAAACUACUUCCUGCACUUGAAGACCCAUGAUGAGGUUCACUAGAUCAAGCAGGUUGCCACCACAAUUUGCAUAAAUCCUCUCCACUCCUCAUUAGUGAUAUCAAAUUACUACAAUUUAUAAAGUUUUAAUUAACAUUGCCACAUUUAAUACCACAUAAACUGCCUUUGUAGACAAUGAAAUGUGCAUCGGAUUGGACAUUGGAAGCGAGGGCUAGGUAGGCGCUAGGAGCGAGGCAGCAUCCAAGUAUUGAAAUCCAGUACCUUGUUUCUAGAGCAAUCCGAUCCGAUCCUAUGUUGUUGUCCUGGCCAUGGCGCUGGUACAACGCGGAUCCAUUUGUAUGGCCGAUUCCGCUCCUGCAGCAUGCUCUGUGGGUAUUGGAGCCCUGAUCAAAAUGCUUAUUGUUGGCAUUGUAAGAGGAAGACACUGUGGAGGAAGGGCUUGCCAGAUCAUUUGGAUCCUUCGUCUUUCCACAAUCUGGAAAAAGAAUAGGUAGGCUGUUUUUUUUCUGACUUGAGUUUUUACUGCAUGUUCUACUGCUCAGGAAGCAUGCCGAGCAGGCCUCUACAAAAGUCUUCGAAGGGCAAUGCGCCACCGCUGUGCUGUUCUAAGGUUUGACCCAUGCAGGUUCUCUGUGUUUGUCGAUUUAGAGUUUAAUCCAGGAUCGAAAGUACAGAACGGUGCUCAAGGUCACCCCUUGCCUGUUUGGACCAAUUUAGGAUCUCAAGCCAAGAGGAUGAAACGUUCAACAGCCGACUAGAUGGAAUGAAGCAAACGUUAGUGAUGAUGAUCAUGCACUUGCUGAGGACGUUUUGUUCAGAUUCCUCAAAGGCCUUCCAGGCCCGUUUUUGUGUUGACUGAAGUACUGGAUGUCUACGUUGACGACGAAUUCACCAGGUACAGUAUUAUUCAAAGUUUUUCAUCUCAAACUGUAUCGCAGUGUGGCAUCUCGAAGCUGGAAUCGCAGAAUAUCUACUGCCGCUCUGAAAGUUUGGCUCUCCCAAGGUCAAGACAUCAAAAUGUAAGCGUCUAUUGAAAAUUCUGAUUGAUCUAGAGACUCACCGCUCCCUUUCCUUUUCAGUGACACUGAAGCAAGCUCUGCAAAACUAUCAAGACAUUCAAGAGCUUUGUCAUUUCUACCAGGAGGUAAGCUGGAUCCUCUUUUUAUGACGUAAUCUUUCUUUUAUAGAGCAGAAGCAAGUACCCCAUAUGUGGAGUUUAAUUAAUAUUUCUCAUUCAUUGUGAAAUAUUAUCCAGGAUUUCUCUAGUGUAUAUACAACUAGAUGAUGAUAUAUAAGUGAAAAUAAUCCUCUUUUUCCUAUGCACUAUGUUCUUUUUCCAUAAAUGUUAGAGCUCCAACUGCCACUACAAGGAGCUGAUAUCCUUCUUCUACACAACAUCCAGAGGAGUGAAGAAAUCUACGUCGGGCAGGUGUGCAAACACGAAUCAUGGGGACAUAUAUCUAGUUCAAGAAACAGAGAACUGCUUGCUUUGAGGAAAACUUCACAUGCAUGGAGCUACAGCAUAUCCACAUCUCCCACGUCAUGAAGGUGAUAAUCAUGAAGGACCUUGAGUGAGACACUGAAUAGGCUGGGCCAGUGAGUGCAACACCAACAAAGACACCGACAACACAGCACUAAUAAUUCAAACUGCAUUUAUACAUCCAUCAGUUUCAUGCUUCAAGAUGGGCACCAUAGAUAGAUUUCAACUAAUGCCGACCUUUUAUUUUAAAAUUUUUUCACAGUGUUUGUGGCCCAAGCAGCAUAAAGUUUACCUGGGCUGGACUUAAACACAUGAUAGAGCACCACAUUUCUAUCUCUUUGCAUAGUCACAAAUGCAUAGCAUGGUCCAUCACAGAACCUAUCUAGUGACCAUAUAACAGCCUGACUUGGGGUUUCUUUGACAACCAUGUUCCCAUUAAGUUCGACUGUGAGAUAGCAAUCGACUCCUCUCCCACACACCCCAUUCGUCCAAACUUGCCUUCGGCCGCCCUCAUUCAAAGACAAGCUACAAUCAUCCUGGAGCAUGAAUGUGUAGAUCAAAUUCGGGGACUGAAGCUCAAAAUUUCGACGAAGACCGUUGUAGAAGAUGUUGUCCAGCGUUGUCAAUUUCGCUUGGCAAUCACCUCGAUUGCUUCCAAGUAGAAUCUUCGUUUGGCUGUGAAGUGUUUCCAUCUGUUGAUUUGGUGCUAUGCGAUAUUGGACUCCAAACAUCUCGGAGACUGCAAGCAUGCUGCUGGCUAGAAAAACUUGCAUUUGACCUCUUGUAUACAUUACUAAGGAUCGGAUGAUCGCUUUGAUAACAAGGCCUCUCACGCUGAUGGUGUUACCUGGAUUGACAUGGCAGAAAUCCAGAUUGGGGCCUGUAUGAUAAGCCAAGAUGACGAUGUCGAUCACAACGUUAUUUGUCACAGUGAUUUGAUCAACAUAAGCGCGUCCACUUUCAUAGUAAGUAUCAUCGCCGAACAUAAUCAGAUUAUCAAUCACUGCAUCUAGAAUCAUAUUGACAUCGGCUGGUGUUAUAGCAUUGUGCUGGUCGGAGAAUUCCCAGCGCAUGGCUUGAACAACACUAAAAUAGAAAAAAAGUGCUGAAAUGAACUUCAUCUUCACAAAGGAGAAUGAUUAAUCAAAAGUCGAAAAAGAUAAAUUACUUAAUGUAAGGAAAAAAACAAAAUAAUAAAGUUAAAAUGCAAUAGUCACUGCUUUGACUUUUAAGAGACAAUGCCAAUAAAACAAAAGAAAUAAGUGCUAACAAACUUCAACCGCUAGCUUAUAGCUGCUUUUGUUUGAAGCCUUUCCAUUGCUUGUGGUCAUAUGUUUUAAAAACAGCAACUUUGCUCGUUCCUUUAUAUAUACUGUGAGAUGAGCAAUGAUGUACUUCACGCUUGCACCAUCCACCAAGUGUAGUUGUAGUUAUCUAGUGGAUCUUGAGCCACAAUGUCCAGUUUUUUGCAAUCAACCCCCUGUUUCUUUGGAAUUUUAUACCUUUUUUUUAUAUAUAUGAUUAAAUAUAGUUAUGAAAGAAAACAAAUUUAAAAUAAAGUACCUUAAAUAACCUUAUGCCAGCUGCCCUAAGAAACCAUUUGGUGGUCACUGCCAUUCCUUCCUUUCAUCCAUUGGUUUGUGAAUAAAAACAAUAAUAAGAAAUAUUAGAGAUGCAUUAUCAAUGUUAAAUUUAAAAGAAAGAUGUUUUCAUCACUUGGGAUAUAAUAAAUAUUAGUUUAUAAAUAAUUCUAAUUCUUGUUUAGUACUAUUUAUGAAUCCAAUUGAUCAAUAAUUAUAAUUAUUUAUUAGAUGAGAAUAAACAAUAGUAUUUUAGGGUUUAAGUUUAAAAUUAUAAACAAAUAUUCAAGAAAUUUUAAAUAUUUUAUAGGUAUAUUCACUACCACUCUAGCAAGCCAAAAAUGAAGUGUAAUUAAUAUUUAUUCAUGUAGAGAGCUUGGACAAUAAUGCACUUCCAUGUGAGUUGUUCCAAUGGUCAAAGAUUAGACUCUAACAACACUAUUGGAUUAGAGACAUUCCCUAUGCACAACUCCAUUUGAAAGAACUAGUGUUUUGCACUCUAGCUUGUGAAUUGAGCAAAAUGGCAAUUUGAUUGUGAUGUAAAGUGAGUGUAGUGUAUGUGGUUUUCACCCUUUAUCCUAUGGUGAUUUACUAGAGGCUAACCACAAAGUGAAACCUAAACCUUUCAUAUGCCACGUGUCAUAUGCUAUAUAUCCAAGGAUAUUAAAGUGGAAUCUGAAUUUCAAGGCCUUGGGCCACUGAAUGAAAUAACAGAGCUAAACUCCUAAAUAAGGAGCAAAGGAAUGAAAGAACUAGAGCACAUAGACUUCCAAGUGUACAGCUUAAGAAGUGAAGGGACAAGAGCACAAAACAACUUAGAAUAGUUUUAGAGCAUUCAACAUCCCAAUGCUAUAACUAAUAUGUAAAAUGGAACUAAACAGAGUUUAACACUAUUUUAGCACACUAGUGGCUUAAUACAAGGAUAUAAAUACUGUAUACCAGUGGCUUAAUAUGAGGAUAUGAAUACUCCAUCAACUAGCAUGGUGUGAAACUUGGGCUUAAACCCAAGCCACAUAUAAAACAAAAACAAGCACGCAAGCGAAAGCUAUAUUAUACCUCAUGUUGGUUGGCCAUGCCUGAUCUAUUCACUAUCCCUCCUAUACAUUUGAAACCCCCUCCCCCCUGAGGAACACACAUUUUGGGCUUUUACCCUUAGCCACCCUUAGUACUAAAUUAAUAUUGUAUUUACAAUUUAUAGACAUGUAUAUAAUUUAUAAAAUUUCCUAAACACUUUCUAGUAUAUUCUUAUUUAUUUUACCAUCUAAUGGUUGAUAUGCAAAAAGAUUAAUCUUGCUUUAUAAAUUAUAAACAUAAAAUUCCUUAAUAUUCUAAAUAUUCAUAGUGAUAGUAUAUUCUAAUUCCAUACACUACAAAAAUGGUUAAACACUAUUUAAUUACUACAGCUACAAUCUCAUUUCUUUGUUUUUUCUGUCUAUGUGCUAGUGUAGGUUAGAAAGUUGUUUGAGCUCAAUUAGUAUCUACUAGUACCUAGCUCUAUAGUCAGCUUGAUCCAAAGAUAAGAACUCUCAAGUUGGAAGAAUUCUCAAGGCAGGCUUGAACUUCUUAGAGUUGGGUUUUACUCAAAGUCUAAAUACUUGAAAGACAAGAAAUGUAAACAUCUUUUGAGAUGUAUUCUAUGAGCUGAUUUUUGCAAGCCUAAGGCACUUAAGCUUCAAGAGUCUAGCAAGCUAGCCUAGUAUCAUGGUGCUACAAAAUCUCAGUUUCCUUUCAAAGUUCUAUUUCACCCUAGAAUUUUGUCUAGUUGGAGAGCUAGUUUAUGGGAUAAAUUUGAAACUUAUUAAAUAUAGAAUGGUGUUAAGCUGUGAAUUUAGACAUGGCACCAACACCAUUAUGUUCAAAAUAAUCUCUACAUUCUAUAAAUAUGCCAAAUUAGCAAAUUUAGGCACUUUCCAUAAAUAGUAAUUAAUACUGAAUAGGACUAACACAUAGGGUAUGAUAGUGAGGGUGCUUAGUAGACAUGAUAAACUAUCAUUUAGCAAUAUUGAGGGAUUAGUCUCAAUAAGCGAAAGUUCUUAUUAAACCACUACUGUUAGGUGCCAACUUUGACUACGUGGUCAACUUCAGUCAAAGGGAGGCUCAAAGGUAUAUUAAGGCAUGUUAGGGUAAGGGAUUUAACCUAGGGCUCACAGUGGAGCGGUGGUGUAGUGGAGCUUUUGAGGUAGCUCAGGGGUGGUUGGGUGGUGAGGAACCUCAAGAGGUGGUAUAGCAUAGUCUAAGGUGACUAGAUCUCCAUCUUUUUGUGCCGGAUCAUAACAUUGGUAUCAAAGAAGUUGGUUGUGAUGGCUGACCAAGUUGAACACUGGAAUCCUAGUACUGACGAUGGUGCCGACGAAGUUGUAGAGAUUUGGACCAUUCAAGAUAUGGUUCAUGAGCUGUGAGCCCUUAAUCGAAAUCAGUAAGAGAUGUAAGACGAGAUGCAUGGCAUGAUGGAUACCAUGCGUGGGCGUGUUGAGGCACUCGAAGUUGGAUGGGGUAGUGCUCCAAGUAAGCCUUUUUUGGUAGAUCGACUCAAGAUUCCAACUUUUUCUGGUGAUGGUGGUAUGGACAAGUGUCUCACUUGGUUAGCCAAUGUGAAGAAGUUCUUGGUUGCUAAAGGAACUCCAAAUGUAGAGGCUUUAGUGGCUAUUCUGAUAGUUUUGCAUGAUAUGGGUCUUCGAUAGUGGAAUUGGCUUGAGGAGUCUCGUGUUGCGGAUAAGAAACCACUAAUGUCUACCAUGGAUGAGUUUGAGGCUGCUUUCCGUUUACGUUUGCCCCUCAUUACGACAUAGAGAAUGCUUGUACAGAACUUCAACAUUUCCAACAAGGAAAAAUGACGCUCGGGGACUAUAUUGAGAAGCUUACUCGCUUGAUUAGUCGUGUUCCAACAAAGGAUCUAGAUCAAAACAAGUACGACUUCAUUGAUGGCCUACAUAGUGAGAGCAUGUGGCAACACUUGCGUAUAUCGGGGCCCGGACAUAUCGGGUGCCCGACAUCAUUCUCAACCUACAAAGAGUUUGGAAGAGCUCUUUGAUGCAGCUCGUCGACUUGACAAUGACAAGCACAAGUCUUGCAAGCAUUUGUGGAGUCUUUCUGUCAAGAAUCGUCGUGAUGAUCGCCAUGGACACAAGGAUGGGAACAAGCAUCACAAGUUGAAGUCGGUGGUGACUACUUCAAAUGCAAAGGGGUCCAAGAAGCAAAAUUUCUUUGUGAAAAAUUAUAAACAGGGUUGUCAUCAUUGCGGUGAACUUAGACACUACAAGAUUGAUUAUCCGUAGUUGAAGAAUAGUAGCAGGACAAGAAGUAUAGCCAAUCUUCUUCUCACGGUAAGUCAGAUACUAAAAAGUUGCAAACUUUGCAGCGUGAGGAUGAGGAGAACGACCAUUCCGGUUAGAGGAAGAGACUUUCGAUCGUUGCUCGUCAGCUCAACUGUGUGUGGAACAAGAUGGAGCUUGAGGAUACGCAUGAAUCAACUUUAAUGCUGGAGGGCAUGUUCCGUAGCGAUCUAGUGCGGAUUUUACUGGAUAGUGGGAGCGAUGACAACUUUGUUUCAGCAAAGUUUGUUGCGGAGCAUGGCUUGGUCACACGCAGAGUUCUUCCAUACACAGUGGAAGGUGUAGCUACCUUUGCCCAGCAUUUUAAUGCUUGUGUCAAGGGGCUGGAAGUGCUGGUUGGCAAAACCACACUUGUGGAAACUUUUUAUCUCGCGGAUAUCCAUCGUGUGGAUUUCAUUCUUGGGAUGCCAUGGUUGGUGAAGGUGGAUCCAGAGAUAAAGUGGAGUAUUAAGUGUAUCUCGCUAGAGUAUGGUGGCGUUAAAGAUGUGUGGUUUGGUGAGGGCGUUCAACCACUAGUUGUUAUGCUCUCUACUACAUCUUUGAAGUGGGCUUGUUGUAAUGGAAAAGCACUUUUGAGUUACUUACUAUUUGUUUGUGACUUGGGGGACCAAGGCACAUGUGGGGGAGAAGCAGUAGUACAAGAUGUACUUGAUGAGUUUUCUGAUGUUUUUCCAUUUGAACUUCCUCAUGGGUUGCCUCCGUUACGAGGUGUGGAGCAUGGGAUUACAUUGGAGCCGGGGACGCGGCCAAUUUACCGGCAUCCAUUUCGGUUAAGUUAUGUGGAGGAGCAAGAAGUUCAAUGACAAGUCAAGGAGUUAUUUGAGUUUGGAUUUAUUCAGCCAAGUAAGUUUCUGUUUGGUGCUCUAGUCUUGCUUGUGAAGAAGAAGGAUGGUUCAAUGCGAAUGUGUAUUGACUCCUGCACUUUGAACAAGAAGACAAUGAAGGAUAAGAUGCCGAUGCCACGUGUGGAUGAUAUCUUAGACAAGCUUGGUGAAGCACGAGUGUUUACCAAGAUUGGUCUGAGGAGUUGGAUAUCAUCAGAUUGCAAUGGAUGAUGCAUUUAUCUCCAAGACGGCAUUCAACACAAGGCUUCGGACAUUUUGAGUUUACANNNNNNNNNNNNNNNNNNNNNNNNNNNNNNNNNNNNNNNNNNNNNNNNNNNNNNNNNNNNNNNNNNNNNNNNNNNNNNNNNNNNNNNNNNNNNNNNNNNNGGUGGCAAAUGCUUUAUCUCGUGUUCGUUAUGUGGCGACGUUACAAACACAAUUUGGUCAUUAUUUGAGUAAGGUGGUUAGCGAGUUUGGGCAAUUGGUUGAGCAUGCUGAGGCUUAAGAUGCUGAGGUGGCCUCUUUGCGAGACCAGAUGGAAGCCCCUUUCUCAUUAGUGGAUGGGAUUCUCUACUACAAUAGUCGUGUAUAUUUGCCACGGGUGGAUGCAUUAAUUAUUCAAGUUUUAUUCCACUAUCAUGAUCGUCCAAAGGCCGGUCAUUUUGGGGGGAAGAAGACAUACGAGUUGAUUAAGCGCAACUUUUAUUGGAGGAAUAUGAAGGCUAAUAUCCUCAAGUAUUGUAAAUCAUGCGAGCUUUGUCAGCGGGUUAAGGUACCACGGGAGAAGCCGGGGGGAUUUUUGCAACCUUUACCUAUUCCUCAGAGUCGGUGUAAUAUCUCUAUGGAUGUCAUCACUUGUUUGCCACGAACACAAAGGCAAAAGGAGCAAGUAUAGGUCAUUGUGGAUCAGUUGAUGAAGUAUGUGUAGUUGUUGGCUCUUUGGAAGAUUGUCAUUGCUUUAGAUUUGGUUGUGGUUUACUUGGAGAAGGUUUUUCUUGAUUUUGGUUUGUUAGGGGACAUUAUUAGUGAUCAAGAUUCAAAGUUCACCAAUGGAUUUUAGAAAAGCUUUGCAAAGGCUAUACAAGUGAUUUUGAAACUCUCAAGUGGAGAUCAUCCUUAGACGGAUGGGCAAACUAAGCGUGUGAAUCAGGUGGUGGAGGAUACGCUACGUUGUAGCAUUGGUCAAAGGCAAGGAAAGUGGGAUUUAUAUCUUCCGUUGAUGCAAUUUGCUUAUAACAAUAGCCAACACAGUGGAACCAAGCUAAAUUCUUACUUUGCCAUGUUUGGAAGGCAUCCUUGAACAACAGUGGAGUUGGGAUUGCAUUUGAGUAAGGACGUUCAAGAUAAGAUUGAUUCCGAGGCAACUGAUCUGGCCACAGAACUUGAUGAGAUUCUAGUGGUGUGCAAACGGAAUUUGCAAACAGCUCAGGAUAGAGCGGAGAAGUUUGCCAAUGAGCAUCACCAAUUCUGAGAAUAUAAGGUAGGUGAUCUCGUCUUUGUGUGAGUGAUCUUUCCGUCAAGUGAGCGGCAGAACACCUUGGUGCCUUUACGGAUAAGGAAGAGUGAUAAACUUUCUUAUCGAUAUGCUGGUCCAUAUGAAGUGCUAAAGUGCAUUGGUAAAGCGGCUUAUCGGGUGCGACUGCUAGCUAGGGUGAAAAUUCAUUUGAUAUUUUAUGUCAGCCAAUUGAAAGGUGUACUAUCUUGGAGUGAUCCCAAUGCCUCCUUGAUGUAUACGACUACGGAAGAUGGACUAAGAGCUUGAGCAGGGUUCCCUAGAAGGGUGAUCACCGGUACAACUUGUCCUUGGGACAAGGACUUUGUUGAGGGGGAAGAAUUGUUAGGUGCCAGUUUUGACUUGUUGGUGACUACAUGGUCAACAUUAGUCAAAAGGAUGCUCAAGGGUAUAUUAAGGCAUGUUAGGGUAAGGGACUUAAUCUACCCUAGGGCUCAUAGUGGAAUGGCGGUGCAGUGGAGCUUUUGAGGUAGUUUGGGGGUGGUUGGGUGGUGAGAAACCUCAAGAGGUGGCAUAGCAUAGUCUAGGGCAACUAGAUCUCCAUUUUUUUGCACCUGAUCAUAACAAUUACAAUAUAAAGCAAAAGAGAACUAAAGCUAGGCCGAGUAUGCUCAAUAAGAAAUGCAUAAAAAUUCCUACCUUAUAUUCAUCUGGCUAAGUAUAGAUGCUAAGCCCAGAUUACUAACACUUGAAUAAGAGGGGCUGAAAAGGGAAUUAACAAUACCAACCUCUUUCUGUUGUGGCAGUAAGGAAAGAAUAUCCAAAAGAACUAGUCAACAAGUAACUUUUAAACUUAUAGUCAUAUUUGUGACAUUCCCCCCCCCCCCCCCCCCCCUUAAGGAAAAUUAACAUUUUCAUUGAUGCACACUCUAGUCUAGACCACUGCCAAGAAAACAAUUUUAGAAAACUGUCACAGUGAUCACACUAUAUAAAAAAUGCACCAACUUAAAUGAUUUAGGGUACCUUUGCUAUUUAACCCAAAUGCGCUACAAAGUUAAACACCUUUUGGUCAUCACCAAUAAAGAAAUGACUAAUAGAGUUAGUCACCCUUGCUACUCUGGUGUGACCUAGCUUAUAAAAGAGUGAUAUGACCCUACCCACAGAUGAUAUAAAGAGAGAAGUUAGAAGCCCUAUCUCUCAUGAGCAAAGACACCAAACCUGUCAAUAAAGUUUAAAUAGACUACUAUAAAUAGGCAAUUACAAUUGUUUAUAUGGUCACGCCCUUUUAAUGAAAUAAAGAACAUAGACAGAGAGGCAGAUGAUAUGACCAAUCAACAAUAGCUACCCCAUGACUAGAGAUUUCAUAAUACAUAUAAAGUGCUAAAGCCAGUCUACCUUCAAACAGAAAGAUCAAGAGAUGGAUAAUAUCAAAGUUAUAGAUAAUGAUAUCUUAAAGAUUUAAGUAUCAAUGAAUAAAUCUUAUAUUAGAACACAAAAGUUUUUCAAGUAAGUUAUCAUCUGAUAAACCAGUAUUAGAGUACAAGAACCACUAAGAUCAUCAUCACUAUCAAACAAAAUUCAAUACCUAAUAUAUUAUUAGGAAAACUCAAUAAUAAGGCAAGACUAACAAACUCUCAUUCAUACUAAUUAUCACACUAGCCAACCUAAAUAAAUCCUUAUCAACAAAAGGAAAGAACUCAAGUUGCUUAAUUAACUGUUAGCAACAUCCUACCAAUAUCUCAAAACCAAAAGACCACACUAGACUAAACCACAAAGAAUAUGUGGUCAUGUGAAAAGCCAAAAACUAUAAAAAAGAAUAACUAACUAUUAUGAAAGAUCAUCAAUUAUCCUAUCAAUGAAGAAAUACAUAAUUAUCGUCAAAGAAAGAAUCCACCAUCCCAAAGAAUGAUGAAUUAUUCUAGAUCAAUAAUAAUCAAGCAAAACCUUUGACAAGGAUAACCAAUUACCUUAAAUGAUAGUUAAUCAUCAUCAAUGAUUAUCAAAUGUAAAUACUAAUUUCAAUAUCAAAGUUAAUGAGCCAAAAAUGCCUUCCUUAACAACUUCUAAUAAAUGGAACAGUGAGUAUAAAACUCAAAAAACCAAAAGGUUGAAGAAGCUUAUAGCCAAAUCUUGCCUAACAAUGAUUAUAACUCUUAUAUGAAUUAAUUUCAAUGCUAAAUAAGUAACAUAUAAUAUCCUCCUUAACACAUAUAUAAGCUAAAUUUCAUAAUGUAAAGCUAAUAAAGAACAUUUUUGCAUCAAUCCAAAAGCUAAGUACAACAAAGCUAUGCUCAAUAAGUGACCACCAAAUUAAUCCUCUAUAAAUCCAUCUAUGCAUAAUAAAAUGUAACUCACUUUAUAACAUGUGCAAAAAGAAUUAUCAAUGAUCGAUAUAUCCUAACACAAAUUCAAUAAGGAACUAAGAUCUUUAAUGUCGAUCACUAACUCUUCCUUUUGUAAAGUUAGCAUAGUUCAUAACUGAAUUACUUUUAAAAGAAAAGCUCAAAACUCAACUCCUACUAAACAAUCUCAUCUAGAAUACAACUAACUUAAUUUGCUACUAAGCUCAUUUGAACACAAAUAUAGUUGUUAACUAGUAAAUGCAUGAAUGCUAGUAACACAAAACUACAGCUAAAUCAUUAACACUAUCUAUAUUAAGACUAAUGGAACUUAAUAUUAAUUCUAUGGAGAGAUAUCUCAUUUCACUCGAAUUUGAACAUUAACAAUGUCAAUGACAAGGCAUCACUUCAAUGCCAUUAACACCAAAAUAAAGUUAGAAGAAAGCAAAAGUGAAUCACCAUUCAAAGCUCUUUAGCACUAGAGCUAACCAAAGUCGAGGUUACCUUAGUUAGUAUUGGAAACUAAUCUUUUAAUAAUACUUAUUUACAAAUAAUAUAUCAUUAAGGAGUGAUUCACCAUGUCCAAGGCUUAAUGUAACCUAACACUACGGAUUAAACACAACUAAAAUGAUGUUGACAAAGGUAAAGUCAAUAUGUUAACAUGGAAAAACCAUGUAAGUCUAACGACAUGAUCCUUUACAACACCAUCUAGUAAAGUAAAUAUAUCAUUACUAAAUCAUUAUCGAGUGAAACAAGUGUUAAUAGUCCUUGGUGAAAUCUACAAGUAUUCACUAGUCACAAAGCAACCAACAAUCACUUUUUAAUUUACCUUUCACAAGAUCUAAACACUAAACUUAAAUCAUUGAGUCCAACAAUAAGGUAACACCCCAGCUACAAGAUAUAGGAAUAUGGACAAGCAUAAACUAAAUAACUAUUCAAAUCUAAUCAUACAACAAUAAGUUCAUCAAUACAUUUAGUCAAUAUUUCUGAGCAUGCCUUGAAAAAACUAGCUAUGUAUGAUUAACUAUAUGAUACACAACCUCCUUAUAGAUAAAAUUAUAAUACAGGUACUAACAUGUCAAUCUUAAACAAUUAAGUUAAAUAUCACCAUCUUCAGCUAAGGCGUAAAGCUACCAAGACCAAGUCAAGAUCAAUGAGAACUCACUACUUUCACAAAGUCUAAUAAAAUGCAAAGUGCACCUACCACCAAGCAUAAUGUUAUAGAAGAAAGACAUAAGGGUCACCUUCCUAAAAAAGUGUAAUAGUCACUUUUUUAUACACUCUAUCCAAUUUAAUUGCUUUAACCCUAAAAAUCAGUAUCCCUUUCGAACUGCAUCAUACAAACUACCUACUAAAGUUUAAUCCUACCAAAAUAAACUUUAUUUCUUUCAUUAGUUUAUACUGACUUAUGAAAAUAGAAUGGUUUUUGAGUAAAAUGAUUAAUAGAUCAACAGAUCAACUAUUGAAAAAGUCUAAGAAAUUUUAUGGAAAAUUUUCUAUCCUAGAGAAAGAAUGACUCUCGAUUCAGAAAUACAAAAUUUCAAGACUCAACCAACUUUUUCCUACAAACAACUUCACACAACUUUACAUAACUUCACCUCAAUAUAAAUUCUUAUGACCCAACAGUAUACUUAAGUAUUGAACAUCAUGCCCAUAUUUCCAAAUUUAACACCAUCCACAAAAUGCAAAAUGAACAUCCAAGACUCUAUCGUAAAUACUAUAUUUUUGGAUAUUUAUAUUGCACUAACACUCUUCUCAAAUUAUCUUUAAGAUCCAAUAAAACCAAAAUACUAACAAGAAAAAUGACAUAAAAAAUUAAAGUCUAAAGAAAAUUCCUUAUUAGUCAAAAUAACAAUGCCACUUCCAUUAACACAAAUGCUAGCAAUGUCAAUGUCUUAACUUUACACCUUCUCUAUCCAACAAUCUAUUCCAAGUGUUAACGAAUAAACUAACAAGCCAUAACAAAUGAAUAUUACAACUUUUUCCAUCACAUUAUGGGCAAACCCUCAAAGAAACAAGAUAUCAACUUAAGCUUAGCAUAAUGGACCACCAUUAAGAACCAAGUUAGAGCUACUUCAAUGUUACUACUUACAAGUAAAAUAACUUCUCCAUUAAUCACUUUAGGGUUGAUUAUAGUCUAACCAAGUAACUUCGUAAGCACAUUAUUUACUAUCACAUAGAUAUGAUAUAAAAAUCACAAUGACUUGAUCAUUAAUUAAGCAAUACCAUAAGCAAGCCCACAUUAUUACUUUAAAAGUUUACAUAAGUAUCAAAUGCCAACUCUAUUCAAUAAAAUGCAAUAGAAAUGUCAUAUCCCACUGAUAAAGAUUUACAACACCAAAUGCCAUCAAUUUUGUUCACAACAUAUACAAGCUCAUACCACUCUCUUUCUGACAAAACUCAAAACUGAUCCAACACCAAGUUAUUCAAAGAAUAAUAGUAAGGUUCCCCAAAAAAAAUUGAGUAUUAUAACUCAAGUUUUCAAUAGCAAGCUUAGACAAAAUGGUUUAGCGUUUCACUAUUAUCUAUCCCAUAACUCACCACUUGUAAGACCACUAUAACCAACAUGCAUCAAGAUAAAGACUCUCAGUUGCAUAAUGUGAAUAUGAGCAAAGAGUUAACACCUUGUUGUAAAUCAUCUUUUCAAGAAGAGAAAAUUAUUUACAUAUUUGAUCUUUCAUCCGUAAUGCCUCUCCUUUUAGUCUUAUCUUGACUAAACCUUAAAUUUGCAUUUGCAUUACCUUUAGUCUAAUUUAAGAAAAGUUUACGACAAUGACUACUUGAACCAAUAGACUAAUGUCUAUAGUCUUGAUUGAUCCACUUUUAAUCGUGCUUAAGAAGGUUUCACUAGUGCUAUAUUAAACAGCUACAGACCAACUUAUUUGCCACUUAUAGUAAACUCAGAGGAGGUUUACUUUUACUCAUGGUACUGUAAAACACAAAUCCUUAAGCCCCAAAAUGGAGCUGAAAGGGUACCACAUGGUAGUGGUUGAAGUGGAAGCAACAAGUGUAAUAUGUUUGGAUCAAAAGCUCUGACUUGGAAAGUCGAGAGCAGGAGUGAAGUUCCAAACAAAGUUCUCAAAGAAUGAGCACAAAACAAUUGAUGAAUGAGUCUCUAAACACUGACACAAGUGGAUUGACACAUGGUAAGUGUUGUGACAUAUGAAAAUUUUAUGAAUAAAUCCGAGAAGGAAUCCGAAAAAGAGUUUGAGAUAGAGUUCAAAAAAGAGUCCGAGAUAGAGUCUGAGAAGAAGUCUGAUAUGGAUUUGAGAUAAAGUCUGUUAUAAACCCGAGAUGGAGUCCAAGAUGGAGUUCAAUAUAGACCCGAGAUGGAUCCGAGAUGGACCCGAGAUAGAGUCCAAAAUGGAGUCCGAGAUGGAGUCCAAGAUGGAGUUCGAAAUGAAAUCUGAGAUGGAGUCCGAGGUCAAGUCCAAGAUGGACCUAAGUUGGAGUCCAAGAUAGUGGCUGAGAAAAAGACUAAGACUAAGAUUGAGACUAAGAUCGAGACCAAGACUAAGACCGAAACUUAAUAAAUAUGGAAUGGUGCUAAAUUGCAAAUUUGGACACAGGGACAAUCUUUAUAUUCUGUAAAUAUGUAAAAUUAACAAAUCUAGACACUUUCCAUAAAUAGUAAUUACGACCAAAUAGGACCAACACAUAGGGUAUGAUAGCAAGGGUGCUAAAUAAAUACAAUAAUUUAUCAUUUAGAGAUAUUGAAGGAUUACUUUCAAUAUACAAGGGUUUUUGUUAAGUUAAUGCAAAACAGAGCAAAAGAGAAUUAAAAACCAGGCCAAGUAUGCUUAACAAUAAACAUAUAUAUUCAUCUGCCUAAGUACAAAUGCUAAAUCAGUUUACUAACACUUGAACAAAAAAGGAAAUCAACAAUACUAAUCUUCUACCAUCAUGGUAGUAAGGAAAGAAUAUUUGAAAAGAGUAGCCGACAAAUAACAUUAGAUACCCACAAUCACAUUCACAACAACAAGUAAGCAUAGCAAAGGAUUGCAAUUUGGUCACCUAGAGCUGAUCUCCUAGUAGAAGGAUACCAUAUUUGCAAGGGUUUUGGCAAUUUCCAUACCUAUAGAAUUCACUUGGCACAUCUAAGUUGACAUGCAUUUGAGUUGUGUCUGAAGUCGGCAAUAGAUCAUCAUCAGCAUAUAGUAGUACAUAGAGAAAAAUGCUUUCUUUGCAGCAUAGUUCCAUAUAGAUCUCAAACAACAUCAGCCAGAGGGGCCUAGAGCACCCUUAUAGAACCCCUGAACAAGACACAAUUGGCUGGCUAUCUACUAUUUUCAAACUCAAAGUCUUGUAUAAUUCAAUGAUUGCAGCUACUAAGGGGGUAGAUGGGGAUUUGGAGUUCCAGCAGACACCAAAUCAAAAGAUGCCAUAGGACACAAUUGAAAGCUUUGGUUAAAUCAACAAAACACAGGAGAAGCACUUGGUUCCCGACAUGGAGGGUUAGCAGUUGGUUGAUGCAGGAGUAAUGCUUGUGAAGGUCUGCUUGACCUUCUCAUGCUGCCAAGUUGUUUCUCUAUAAGGUGGGCAAACACCUUCACAAAAGCUACCAACAUUGCUAACUCACUUGUGAAGAUUCUAUUAUAAGUAAAAUUUCCUUCAUUGAAGUUGGAUCAUUCUUUUAUACUAGUACUUUUCUUUUGGACAAUGACAUCUUUUUCUUAAAAACACUUUGUAUUUUAUUUUAAAAGUUUUUUACUGUACUUGUGGCCCAAGCAGCAUACAGUUUACCUGGGCUGGACUUAAAAACAUGAUACAGCACCACAUUUCUAUCUCUUUGUAUAGUCACAAAUGCAUAGCAUGGCUCAUCACAAGACUUAUCUAGCGACCAUAUAACAACCUGGCUUAAGGUUUCUUUGAUAACCAUGUUCCCAUUAAGUUGGACUGUGAGAUAGCAAUCUACUCCUCCUCUCCCACACACUCCAUUUGUCCAAACUUGCCCUCGGCUGGCUUCAUUCAAAGACAAGCUACAAUCAUCCUGGAGCUUGAAUGUGUAGAUCAAAUUCGGGGACUGGAGCUCAAAGUUUCGACGAAGACCAUUGUAGAAGAAGUUGUCCAGCGUUGUCAAUUUCGCUUGGCAAUCACCUCGGUCGCUGCCAAGUAAAAUCUUAGUAUGGUUGUGAAGGGUUUCCAUCUGUUGAUCUGCUGGUGCUAUGCGAUACUGGACUCCAAACAUCUCGGAGACUGCAAGCAUGCUGCUGGCUAGAAAAACUUGCAUUUGACCUCUUGUAUACAUUACUAAGGUUCGGAUGAUCGCUUUGAUAACAAGGCCUCUCACGCUGAUGGUGUUACCUGGAUUGACAUGGCAGAAAUCCAGAUUGGGGCCUGUAUGAAAAGCUACGAUGGCAAUGUCGAUCACUACGUUGUUUGUCACAGUGACUUGAUUGAUAUAAACUGCGCCACUCUCAUAGUAAGUAUUGUCAUCGAAAAUGUCCGCAAGUGCAAUAACCGUAUCUAGAAUAAUAUUGGCAUCGGCUGUUGUUAUAGCAUUGCGCUCGUCAGAGAAUUCCCAAUGCAUGGCUUGAACAACACUAAUAUAAAAAAGGAGUGCUGAAAAACAUUCAAUGAGAAGAUACAUUUAGAAUGAUUUUUUGCUAGAAACAAUCAAAAAGAAAAACUAUUUCUUGUUAUAAUGAUAAAUUACUAAUUUAUAUUGCAAUCGUCAACCAAUUAUUGAUCAGUAGAAAAACAAAACGUUAAUAGUACAAAAAUAGCAAAUUUAAAAAAGAAACUUCAGAAUCAUCAAGGGAUUGCUUUGAAUCUUAUAAGAGAUGCUAGAAUAUACCACAAAACAUGCGGGUCGUACAAAAGAAUAAAAGUGAUUCUAGAAUAUACUAUCAAAUGACCGUACAAGAAGCAUAUUCGCAAGAGCAGGGUUUAGAGGAGAGCUAAUGGAAGAAGAGCAAUGGCCGUUGCCGCGCCAAUAGGUCAUCACCGUUCAUUUCUCUGCGCUCCACAGCCGGGGCGUCUCGUGCGGAAGAUCGGCAACAGCAUGCGCCAUAAUGUAGUGACGAUCGACUUCUCGGAGCUCCAGGUGAGAUUUCCUGCCUCGGAUCGAAUGAGCGAUCGAUUCUUGCUGUAGAAUGAAGCUGUGAAUUUUUCUGAGGAGCUCGAGGCGGGAUUUGGAGCUCAAGGACUGGGAAUUAUUGCCGUUUCGAACGUAAGCUUUGAAUGGAAUUUUACUUCCACGAGCAUUCUUUUUGUGUUUUUUUUCAGGUUCCGGGAUUCACUGAAAUGCGGAGUAAUCUGUUAAAUCUUGCGCAGAGGUAUCGAGUAUAGUCUCUUCUUACUCAAUGUUUUCGAUUUUUCUGUGCAGCCUUUCUUCUCUUCCCGAAAAUGUUCUCAAGGAGCUAGAAGAUCCAGCAAGCAGGUAACUCAAAAGUUUCUAGCUAGAACUUCCGUAUAAGCGUCUCGCAGAUUUUCUUUUGGUUGGAGCCACGGAAAAGAGUUCCUAGAAUCCGGCCAACCUGGUACGUAUUCGUUCGUAACGGUUUUGUUGUCCUUCUUUCGAGUUCAUAUGUUCCUUCUGGUUUAGAUGAGCUUAAAGCUUCGUUUUAUGCGAAUCCAAUCGUGGACAGACCGACCGAUGACCCAGCUCUCAUAGAAAGGUUUGUUUACUUCCUUCUCACAAAUUUUAACCGGUCUCAAUGUACGCAGGUAUCCAUCUUAUUGUCGAGCGAACUUAUGGCCCGGAAAGGAGUUACCUGACCUUGAAUCAAGUACAUCUCUGUUUUCUCUUUACGUGGAUGAUGUUUUCUUCUAUCACUUUGCAGGUUUUAAGAAACUCGGAAGUCUGAUUGUGAAGGUUGGCCUGCAGCUCGCAGCUCACUGCGACAAACAUGGUGGAGAUCCUUUUCCUGUUCGUCUUCUCUAAUUUCCUGUCCCUUCAGUGUCUCGCAAGGGCGGUGAUGCAAGGCUCACGGACAUGCUCAAGAACUCUUUGUGCCACAAAGGCCGUCUGCUCCAUUAUUACCCAAGGUUUCGUUGCUCCUCCUGCUGUAAAUUUCUAAAAGCUUCUUGCAGCAAAUGCUCAGGCACAAAGUCAUCGUCGUGGUGUGGCUGGCACGUCGAUCACGGAUCUCUUACAGGCACGUUUUCAAGUUACGCGGUGCGCUUUUGUCGAACUUAACAUUUUUUCUUUUGGUGCGUUAAAGGAUUGACCUGUGCAAUGUACACAAGAGAAGGAAGGGAAAUAGACUGUCCUGAUUCUGAAGCAGGGCUUUAUGUUAGGACUCGGUCUGGUGCAAUUGUCAAGGUAAACGAAGUGCUUGUCCAUACGGAUCAAAGUGUUGAAAGUGUCUUCGUGUAGGCAACUUUCGGAAAGGAUGACAUUGCUUACCAGGUAGGAGAAGCGACGGAGCUAAUGUCGAAUGGUGCAUUUCACGCGACACCACAUUGUGUUCGAGUACGUGUCUUUUACUUCUUUUGUGUCCUCUUUCGUAACAAUGUCUACACAGACGGCUCAAGACGAUCCCCUUGUGGAAAGGAACACGUUUGCAGUGUUUAUGCAACCUCACUGGUAACUCUCUCACUUUCGUAAAUCGGCACGUAACUUGGUUCGCGCAGGGACGAAGAACUUGUUUCGCGAGACAGGAAAACAGUUUCGUUUGGAGAUUUCUCCGAGUCCCUGCUUUCCACCUAUUACGGAACAGCAUCAUCUUCACGAGUCACCUUGUAAAACUCGACGUUCCUUCAAAAAACUACUGUGCUUGCGCGACUUUCCAGAUUUGACGCCGUAUCUAUCCACAAAUGUAAAGGGUUGCUAAUCUUGGAGCAGCGCCUUCAUCCGGUUGGGCAAGGUAACGGCUCUGACCCGACUCUUUGUUACGUUUUAAGCGCGAGGGCAAAGAAACAGAUCACCGACUCGAAAAGAUGGAGGCCGGACAAGUCAGCUCUGCGGCAACUCGAAGAGCUCUGGUUCUCACAGGCCAUCUCAAAGAGAUCGACAAAGGGUCUUCGUUGGUGGUGCGCCAGCCGUGCCUGGAGUACUCCCCUCCGGAGCUCAAUUCAGGUACUUUUUUCUCCUUUGGGUUCUUGAAUUUCCUUUUCAUGUUUUUGAUCUUCCAGGAGAGCCCGCAUUCGAUAUAGAGUUGAUGCAGGGAUUGCUGGACGGACACGAUGCUCAAACCCGCACUUUUAUCUUCAAUCUCAUGUCUGAGAGCGAUUUGUUCGUCUCCAGGAGAGUGGGUCGACGGGUUUUCUUGGGAGCUGAUUACAAUCAACCGAUGGAAGUCCAGAGGGAGCUGACCAUGAAGAGAAUUCAGUAUUUUCUUGACAGGGGUGUGUUUCGUGGAUGGCUUACAGACGAUCGGCCACAGUCCGCGCUCCGUAUGGCUGCUAUGUUCGAGUACAUCGGCCUGUUUGAUCAUUCACUGGCAAUUAAGCUCGGUGUUCACUUCCACUUGUGGUAUGCUCUCAGCAUUUCUUUUUAGUUUCAUGUGAGCUUGACAUUUGUAUAUAGGGGGGGAUCAGUGAAGUACCUUGGUUCCAAGAGGCAUCACGAUAAGUGGUUGCUGCCAACGGAGGAAUUCUCUGUCAUAGGCUGCUUUGCAAUGACUGAACUCGGGCAUGGAAGCAAUGUUCGUAGCUUCUUUUCUCUUUUUUGUUUUCUUUGUGCUUGAGUGGUUUAUGAUCUUUUCAGGUCCGAGGGAUUGAAACUAUAACUGUGUACGAUCCAUCAACAAAGGAGUUUGUUAUCAACACUCCAUGCGAGUCUGCUCAGAAAUACUGGAUAGGAGGAGCGGCAAUGGUAAAAAGCAUCACUGUUUUUUUUAUUUUCGGCAACUGACAAAUCCUGUGUUUGUUUCCAGCACGCUACUCAUACAGUGGUCUUCUCUCAGCUGCAUAUGAAUGGAAAGAACGAGGGAGUGCACGCAUUUAUUGCUGAAAUAAGGAGUCCGGAUGGGCGAAUUUGUCCAGGUGUGCGUAUUGCCGAUUGUGGCCACAAGAUCGGACUGAACGGGGUGGACAAUGGCCGCAUCUGGUAUUGUUUUUCCAACUUGCAGAGUUUAGGAGAUGAACUCAAACUUUUUGUUUUUGUCCAGGUUUGAUAAUAAACGCGUACCUCGUGAAAACUUGCUCAACUCCGUAGCCGAUGUAACACCAGAUGGUCGGUACGUGAGUAAUAUAACAGAUGCAGAUCAGGUAAGGUGUUUUGUUCUCUGAGCUGGUACUUUUCUUAUCUUCCUGUGAUAUUAUUCAGAGGUUUGGUGCUUUCAUGGCUCCUCUAACGUCUGGACGUGUUACCAUUGCUGUCAGUGCUGUUUAUCAAUCAAAGGUUUGCCACUUGUAUACUUUAGCUUCUUUUUCUUCAUAGAGCUGAUUUAAGGUUGGCCUUGCAACGGCUUUGCGCUAUGCUCUUUCGAGGCGAGCAUUUGCUCUUUCUCCCAAUGAACCAGAAGUGUUACUUUUGGACUAUCCCAGCCAUCAGCACCGUUUGAUACCUUUACUGGCUAAAUCGUAUGCGUAUUGUUUUGCUUUGUAAGUUUUGAACUGACUGAUACUUUGCAGAUAUGCCAUGAGUUUUGCUGCCUGUGAUUUGAAGCGCAUCUAUUACAACAGAAAACCCGAGCACGCGAAGAUUAUUCACGUACUUUCAAGUGGUUACAAGGCAAUGUUCUCCUGGCACAACCUCAAAACACUGCAGGUAAGCCCAGAUGUGUUCGACAUGAGCUUGUAAUGAAUUCCCCUGCUUUAGGAAUGUCGUGAAGCCUGUGGCGGACAAGGUUUAAAAUCUGAGAACAAAGUCGGGCAGCUCAAAGCAGAAUACGAUGUGCAACUGACGUUUGAGGGCGACAACAACGUUUUGAUGCAGCAGGUACUGUUGUCGUAAGUUUACCUUCGAAUUCCUUUUCGUUCCUCAGGUUAGUAAAGCGUUGCUUGGAGAUUUUUUCACGUCGCAAAAGAAGCAACAGCCUAUGAAAGGCCUCGGCUUAGAACAUAUGAAUGGACCACCUCCUACAAUUGGGACCAAUGCCAACGUCAGGGACGUAACGUUUCAGGUACACCAUCAUGUCGGUCGUUUUGUUACUGACCUGCGCUUUGCAGCUCGCUUUGUUUCGGCUUCGCGAAAGAGAUCUGCUAGUAAAACUUGCACAGCAAGUGCGUGAACUCGUGUCCAAAGGAUCAACCAUGGCGAAUGCAACGCUUGCGGUGAGUCUAACCGCGCCGAUUGCUACGUUUUCGUAAGCUAACCUUCUUUCGCUUUCAGAGUUAUCAAUUGGCUGAGGACUUGGGACGUGCCUUCUCUGAGCGUUCGGUUUUGGAAAGCAUUCUAAGCGUAGAAAACUCUCUCGCCCCAAGCCCUGAGAAGGUACCAGUGUUUUCAGAACCUUGCGAAAUAACAAGCCAUCCUUUCAAACAGACAAUUCUGGGCUUGUUGCGCUCAUUAUUUGUAGCUACGACAGUGGACGAAGAUCCAGUAUUUCUCAGGUAAGCGCUUCCUGUUUUAUGGCAUUCUCUAAAGCAACGCUACGACGUUGUUCAUCCAGGCAUGCAUACUUGAGCCCGGAUCAAGCAUUGUCGAUACAAAAAGAAGUUGCGAGCUUGUGUCGCGAGAUCCGACCCUUCAUUCUCAGCUUGGUGGACGCAUUUGGAAUCCCAGCACCGUUUCUUGGGCCCAUAGCGUUUGAUUGGAUCGCAGCGAAUUCCUGGGACCUGGAAGAAGCAAGAAGCUAGAGUAACCUUUUCUCUAUUUCCAUUUGAAAACCAAAGCUAAGAUCUUUCCGCAAAAACUCGUGAUCAUGGUAAGACUCAUAACCCUAAUUUAGACAAAGUUGGCAUAGGGCUUGAUGGAUUGGGAUGCGCGUACACAGGUUAUUCGGAGCCUGCAAGCGGCGGUGCCUUCAGAUGGCGACGGAAGCUUCUUCGGUCGGCAGGCAGAGCUGAGGGCAUUGCUGGAGCGCUUGGCUGCUCCUCCUCUGUGUGUGACUGUUGUUAUUGGGCCUGACGAUUGUGGGAAAACCAAGCUGCUCAAGCGGCUCGAGGAGAUUUGGCUUUCGAAUGAGGAGUUGGCGGCUACUUGUCCAGUGUUUUACUUCGACCUGAGGGUACAGUUGUGGAGCACGCCUCAGGAUGCAGCGGAUCAUUUGCACAAAGAGUACAGGACAUGGGCUGAAAAGGUGACGCAGAGGAAAGCUGCCGGUGUGGACAUAGCGCUCAAAGGUUUCUCGGAGCUUCUUCCGCCUCAUAACACGGCUAACUCGACCGAUCUGGCCAAGGUAAUGGAGGCCUUCUGUGCAGUAAUCGACACAGCUCAAACGAUGUACCCAGUCUUCAUCAUUGAUGAAGCUGACAGGCUGAAGAACUUGGAAACGAGUGAGCUUAUAACAUUCUUUGGAUUCUUCAAGAAGCAGAACAACAAAGCACAUCUCAUACUCAGCAGCUCUGAUGACUUCUUCAGGGUGUGGCUGCAAGAUAUGUUCAAUUCCUUACAGUGGGAGCCGUUUGGGGUGGGCUACCUUCCAGAAGCAGAAGCACGCAAGUUCUUCGCUGGUCACUCUGUUCCAGCUGCUCGAGGGACACUCCCUGCAACGUUUGGAGACUCUGAUUGGAAUGGCAUUUUUGCAGUAUGUGGGGGGUCUCCUAUGCUUCUCAACUGGUGCGCCUGGGCCAAAUUUGUCAAUGCCUUCACCUGGAAGGAAGCAGCGAAUGCUCUUACGAGCCAGAGUCUAUGUAGAGUGAAACUGGGUUUGGCAGCUACCAAGGCUGCCAUGGGCUUCUCCGGGCAUAAGUAUGAAUUGAUCUGCGCUAAAAUAGUGCAAUGUGGGUAUGUAAGCCUCAAAGAUGUGCUUGCUGAAAUCUACGACAGGGACAAAGCAGAGUGCAAGGACGAGAUGCUAGCCAUGGUGUCGAGCAAAGCCAUCCACAUACGCUAUGUGACGGCAAAGACAUCUUAUGGGGAUGUGAGCCUGUCUGAAAUUGAUGAUGCUGGUGGUGAGGUUGACCUCGUCAUGGCCCGCUCUCCUGCCCAACGAGCAGCUAUGAAAGAGUUAUGUUUCAUUCCAAGUCAGGAGAAGUCUGAUCCGCGCGUCCUAGGGACAACGGCAGCCUAGAGUCGAGAUAGCAAAAAAUAUUUGCAGAUUGGAGCCAGUCCUAGCUCAUUCUUCCUUCUGGUUUCGAUAGCCUCGUUAAAAUUCAAAACGUUUGCUUACUUCUUUUGCAUGCGCAUCGUUCAGUGUUUCGCAAGGGUGGUAGGCUCUCAACAACACUUAAACCCAACGUUUCUCCGAAAUAAGGAAAGCAGAAGAACGUCCCCAAAGGGAGGAACAUCUCAUUUUGUAGCUCCACACUUUACUUGCGCGAAUUCUGCAGGGACGAAGAACUUGUUUCGCGAGUUCAUGCUUUUACCAAAUACUACAGACAGCAGCAUGGUCAUGAAUCACACUACGAGGUACUUCAUCUUUCCGUUUUCAUGUUUCAGGAGGAGAAACUUCACUUUCACUUCGGAGCUGAUAAGAAUCAUCCAAUGUCCGGAGAGUUUGAGUUUCAGGUCUGUUUUGUUACUGAUCUGUGGUCCAUUUGUUCGGCAAAUGGUGAGUCUAAUCUCUAUACUGGCUAAGUUUUUCUGAGUGAAGUUCCUUUCGCUAUCAGAGUAUGAAUGAGCUGAGGACUUGGGGGCCGUUCUCUGAGCAUUGUCCAGUGCCAGAAUCUAGACUGCUUGCUUGUGAUCUUUUCGAGCAGACAAUUCUCGUCAUUUGCAGCUGUGACAGUGGACGAAGAUCCAGUUUUUCUCAGGUAAGCGUUUUGGCAAGGUAAAGCUUUCAUACUCACAGCCUGGUCGACGCAACUGGCAUCGUUUCUUGGAUCGAUAGCGUUUUGAUUGGAUCGCAGCGAACUCCUCGCAGCUCGCAGGAAGAAGCAAGCGCGAGAAGCUUCAAGAGAGAACUCUUUCUCUCUUAAAGCCAAAGAAAGUGUAUAGCAAAUAAUAAACUAGACUCGUCAAUUUUUAGGGAUGGCGUCGUCCUCACAGGGAGGAGGCGGGGAGGACGACGACGACGACGAGGGCGUGUGUAGGAUGAGCGUGGAGCUCCGCACGGGCAGGGAUGAGCUCCAGGCGAACAAGAAGAAGCUGCGAUUGUCGCUGGCAUCGCUGCCGCGAGCUGCCGUGGCGCGAGCUGCGAUCUCGCUCAAGCGCGUCAGGGUAAACAGGGAUUCCACCGCGCAGCUUGCCGUCUUCAUGCUCAAGGUCGGGGCGCUCGAGGCCUUGCGGCGAGGUCUCCAGCACCGAUGCCCGCCCCUGUGGUGGAUCAUCCAGGCGAUCCCUCUCUUCCGCGCGCCUCCAUUCGCGUGGCUCCAGCGAUGGUAUCCCUUUCGCUGCCUGAUCCAGGGCACGCAGGUCUGGAAAUAUUUCGAUUCGGUGAUACUUCGCUCAUCGAUUUUCACUCCAGAUCUUCUCCAAGCCUGUGGUCUUCCUGUCGAUCGCCACGGCUCUCACGAAUGCAUGGGAUCAGCACGGGCGGCCGGGCGAGGGGAGUAUUUUCCCAGCGCCGCCGCCAUUGCCCUCGCCUCCUCCCAGUCCUCGAUCGCCUUCUCCAAGAUCGCUGCAAGACAGGUAAGAUUUCCAUCUCUAUACCGUUCUAGACUGAGAUCGAUUGGCAGGGAAGACUCCCAGGCGAUGGCCUUGAGGAAACUGCUGGAAGAACACGGCAUAUUCGUACCCGACAGGUGUGAUGCUUGUUUGUCGCUCUCUCUUUUCAUCGCUUAUAUCAUCUUUGCUCUAGGAUAAGCAACGAUGAACUACACAGGUUCUAUCAAGCAGCCAACAAAAGCAACAAACGUUUCGUAGCGCUUGUGAAGAAGAACGUCGGGUGGCGGCAAAACUUUCGAUUCCUUUCCUGCCGAGAGCUCGACGAAUGGUCCGAGCUCGUCUACUGGCACCACCACGACUCCCAAGACAGGCCUUUGCUCAUCAUCCGUCUGGGCCUCGCUUCUACUACGCUCGUUUCGUCCCAGCGGCCACGCUUUGCGCAGGCAAUCGGUGCUAAAAACUCUCGUUCUUUUUGUCUGUGGUCUUUCUAACGCUUGUGUUUUUUUUUUCCAGUCUCCCAGAUUGAAUUCGGCGUCGUCAACUUGCUAAGGGGCGAGGAUCCUCGAAUCACUGUUGUCCUCGACUGUGCCGGAGCUCCGGCUGUGGGAUUUCCGCUCCAGAUGACGAAGUCCUGCUGCGUCCUUGUACAGGAGAACUAUCCGACCCGACUUGCCGCACUAUUUAUUGUCAAUCUUCCGCCUUUUGUUCGAGUAGUCGCCACCGCGAUUGUUCAGGUCAUGUUUCUAAUCCCGUUUUUCUUCUUUCCGUCUAUAACGGCAUGAGUUUCAACAGAUUCUCAAGCCUGCCACCCGCGACAAGAUUUAUGUGGAAAGCGACGACUGUGCACGAAUCCUGGCGGAGCAUUUGGGUGGACUCGAUUGGGUUCCGAUUUACCUCGGGGGCAACUGCAAGUGUUCUCUUUGCAACGAGGCUCGCGCUGCCUUGGACGAGGAAAGACAGGAUCGUCUACACGAGCUGGUCCAGGGCGUCGGCAACAAUCGUCAGCAGCAACAGCAAAUCUCUUUCGGACAAAGAGAUUAUCUAUUCAGUGACCAGGACGAGGAGGACGUGACUCCCUUCCAGUCAUGCACUCGAGUUCUGAGAGUGGCCAUCAUCGGCCUGCUGAUGCUGUGGAUUGUGGUCGCCCUCGUCGCUGGUUUGUACGAGCCUCACCUGGAUGAGCUUCCGACUUGAUCAAUCACAGGCGAGAUUCUCUCGAGUUUUAUUAGGUGGUAAAACCCGUAAUAAGUGACUCGUUUGCCGUUUUGCUGCUCCUUCGCGCAUUCAAUGCACCUCACAGGAGAAACAGGCAGAAGAAAAGAAAGUCACUCGCCAUGUCCUGCUUCCCUUUUCUCCUGGGUGAGUUGCUUCUUCGUCUUCGUCGCCUUCUUGUUCCAGGGAAGAAGCAGAUCUACAACUGGUGGUCUUCCUUGCAAUGGAGAGACUGGACUCGACACUGAGUUGUGAGCAGGCCCUGGGGAACAAAGACUAUGUCGAGGAGAUGAUCCAGAAGCAACUUUUCAGCUCGCCACUACUGAAUUUGACAGGUUCUUAUCUGCUCUUCGUUUGAUUUUUCUGGCCGACUGCUAAUGUUAGCUAGCACGCACAGGGGGGCAGAAAAUGGACGAUGAUUCGUACCAAGCUACUAUCAAGAUGAAAACUGAGGAGAUGCUGGAAGUUCUGGAGUCUCUGAGGCUUGGCACGGAUUGGAAGGUUGAGGACGAAAGCCAGGACUUGAGAAUUAUGUACUGUCCUGGUCGUGGUACGCCAUUUCACAGCUACUGUGUCGAAGGCAUUGUCAAUGCUCCGCUUGUUCAUGGUAAGAUUGAAGCUUCUUUUCAUACUCCGUCUUGCAUUAUCGACAGUUAUAAAUCAACUGUGAUUUUUAUCUACAGCUCUGUGCGUGAUGUGGGAAGUUCCUUGCUUUAAAAAAUGGUGAGGCGAUUGAUGAAGUGUCUCUGUCUGUAAGCAAAGCCUUUCGUUCCAACUUUCCUUACAGGUGGCCUCACUUUACUGUGCCUUCGUUUAAAGUGUUGGAGUCCCAAUGGCUGAGGAUGCUUCGCAUUUGCGAGAACCUUUUCCACAUGAGGUACUUCGACGUUGUUAAGACGUCCCGCGUUUAAAUUCUACAAGCUCUUGCCAGGUGCAAGGUUCCAUGGCCGUUUGCGACAAGAGAAAUGCUGGUCACGUCUUUCGAACUGGAGCUACCUGAAUUGGAUGCCGUGGUUGGCUGCUUGCGAACAGUUAAGCUAUCAAUCACUGUGCCUCUUUUGUUAUUUUAUUCACUCCAAUGGUGGUGAUUUGCCAGGUCCCCCAGGAAGCAGAGACUAUCGUCAAGGAGACCAUCCAUGGUUUUAAUGCUUCUCAUUUGCCUCCUCCAAAAGAGGGCGUCAUUCGCAUGGAAGCCAACGGUGGAUUUAUCCUCCAGAAGAUUAGCGACGAGAAAUGCUACAUAAGGUACGCUAUUAGUUUUUUUUUUUUUUUUCUUCUUCUUAAGAUAGUCACUACUUCUUUUACAGAGCAGUAAUACACCUGGACCUUAAGCUCGACCUUGUUCCGACAUGGGUGAUUAACUUCCUUGGGCGUCAAGUUGUGGGACAUGGCUUCAGGCUAUACCUCAAGGUAUAUUUCUUUCCUUUUGGGGUGAAAAGUGUCUAAGCUUUGUGUGUUACAACAGACUGUUUCUUCUGUUAAAGAGAGCAAAGUGUUUCAAGAAUGCAUCAGGCAACAGCCACUCUACAGCCGCAUAACGUUACAGAUGCUACCAAAAUCGAGCCACGAAAAUGGAUACAAGAGUUGAGGUGCUUUUCAUACGAACUAUUCAUAAGCUUCCUGCACAAGAGCAUUUACAUUUAUAAACAAAGAGGACUUUGAGGCCCUACUCCUGAAAAGUCCGAACUUAUUCAUCACAUAUAUGCAAGGUGGGUUUUAUAAGAUUUCUGUUGUUUUGCAUGUCUAGAAAAAUUUGCUGCACGCUCCAUACCAAAAAAUUCGAUUGGGUCUCUGGCUGUGGAUUCGAACCUGUGACCUUGCCAAUAUAUUUCUUUAUUCUAGCCAGAUAUCCGGCCACCAGGUUCCCGUCCAAAGUGUACACUAAUUGCUUCUUAACGUAUACCAUAAUGUAAACAGCGGCGCAAGAGAUUUUCGUUUUGUGGGCGCUCAGCUCGUUGGUGCUGUCAAGCUCAAGAAAGAAACCAUUCUCUUCUGGAUGGAAUGAAACUCAACUCUCACUUGCUCCAUGCUCUGGAUGGACUCUGCAUCUCAAUCUGAGCAAGCAGCUGAUGCAGAAGCUACUUUUGAGAAACAAAGUAUAAGUAGAACCAGCAACAUCCGUUUAAGAUAUUGUUCUGGAAGAUGGCUUGUCUGAGCACGAGUCCCGGUCCCCAGAAUCUAUUCUUCACUUGGUUGUCAAAGCUGGAGGUCCAUAGGUUUGGAUCCUUUCACAUCCUCGGGGCGUGAGACUUGGAGCUGUGAGAGCCUUGACCGAGCUCAAGUUCAAUCAGCUGAGUGAUCCCAUAUACAAACCUCAACAGAUCUACCAAUAGGUAUUAUCCCCCACAUUUGACAAUGUGCUUAAGCUAGCUUUUUUAGCCAAAGGUAUAUAGCAAUUAAAGAUUAAAUAUCCCCAUCUCAUUCAUUAUGUCUUUGGUGUUAUUUGCAUUAGAGUGUUCAAGUUAGGUGUGCCAAGUUUUCACACUAUACACACUAACCAAAAAACUAAAUGUCCAUGAUUACCAAAAAUUAAAUGUCCUUAUAUUCCAAACUAUCAUUAUGCCCUAGUGAGUUGGGAUUUGAAUUCAAGCACUAGAGGUUUGUAUAUGCAUUUAUAAAAGGCAUCAUUCAUGAUAUUUAACAUAACUCUCCAUGCUAGUGUACCAAAUUAGUUUUUCUUAUAUACUAGUGUUAUGAGACACAAUUGAGGAACAUAGUUUCUUCAAACUUCCAAAUCUUCUUACUUAAUUAGUUAGAUGACCAAUUUAUGAUCAUACAUGAACUCUUCUAAGUUUGGCCUUUCAAGCCUUCUCUACUGAAGUUAACUCUUCAAUUAAAAAUCUUAUCCCUCUAGCUCAUGUAAAAUGAUUUUAUGCAUUAGCAUGUAAGUCCUUAAAUAUUUUUAAACAUAUAGGAACUACUCCGCAACUUUGAUAGCCUUGCCUUAUAGCAAGGUUUAAGACCACACUUUUGUUGCACUACUCUAAUUGUAUGCAUUUCUAUAAACCUUAUUUACUCAACUUUCCAAGUACCAGCUUACCCUUUUGGAACAUUAAAGGGAUACUUUGUUAAAGCCUCUCUUUUCACAAGCUUGUUAAUUGUCAAUUAAUCUACCACAAACAAUUUCAUAUUUUAUACUCUCCAUUGUACCACAAUUGCAAAUAGCAAAACCCUUGAACAUUCAUUUAAUUCCCCACUCCCUAGGUUAUGUCCCUUAAUUCUUAUGGUUCAAUUUUAUCUUUUUAUUAUUUGUUCUUGUUUUUAUAUAUUCUCUUUACUUAUUCUCUUCCAUGCUAAGAGGGUAGCUUUGCAUUUCUACCAUGCAUUAGUAAAUAUUCUUAGGGAUGAACCUACUCAAUGAUCUAAAGAGUGGUUCCUUAAUUUGAAUAUUGUCACCUUACAAUAUUAUACACCAAUAUUUACAUUAUUACUCAUGGGCCCUUAUGUGCCCGUUACUAACUUUGCCAAAAUCCUUUUAGCCUUAUCCAUCUUAGGUAAAUAAUCUAUAACUUUCCACAACCUUGGAUAUUAAAUAACACUUUUUAUCCAUUAUUUUUUAGGGAUUUAGUUCUUUGGGCUUUAUUUAAUGCUCUUAUGAUACUAAAUACCAUAUUUUUGGUGUUUUAAGAUGUUUAGGUUUCUCAAUGAUAAAUUUCUUAAAUAAUUAGCAUUUCCUUUUACGAUAUUAGCUCACUAUAUUAUAACAAAAGCAAUUUAUCCCUCAAGAGAGAUAUCUAACUUUUUAUCUUGACAAAAAGUCUCAAGAAGUUAGCUUCUGUCAAUUCAACCAGUUAUACCAAAUUUUUACUCAUUUUCCUUAUAGUUAUCAAGUCUAACAACUCAUUAUCAAUACUUUCAUACCUCUAUCAUUAUUUUGUCAAAACACUCGAAUUCCAUACCUUCUAUCUUAGGCUAUGCUAAUUUUGUUUUUAUUGGGAUACCUUGACAAAUGGUUUUCAUGAAUAAGCCAACUUGAUCUCAAGGUAUUCUCCCUUGAGAGGUGUCUUCACACUAUUAGCUUUAUAAGCCUAUCCUCAUGAUAUAUUCCAUUUGUGUUUAUAUCUUUUUGCCAAGGCCAUACUUGCUAUCUCUUAUACUAACUAUUGAUUAGCACUUCACCAUUGUGUUUACAUACAACUCUUUAUAAAAAUUAUUUUUUUCUAUAAACACCUUUUUAUGACCUUAGUAUGACAAUGUAAAUGACUAAAUUUUUCAUUUUACUUUAGUCACUUAAUCACACUUUUGACCACUUGAAAGAGUGUCACUCACCAUAUUCCUAACUUAGGGACAUGCUAGCCUUAUAAAUGGCAUUUAUGCCAUUUAGCCUUUGCACUUGGUCCAAAUGCUCUACAUAUCCGAUCCCACAAUAAACACUUAAAGGUACCACUGGCAUAUCAACCCAUUACACUAAAGUUAUGUCUAUUCACUUUUGUUUGGGGGUAGUCCAAGACUGUAGCACACAUGAUUUUUACCCUUUAUUCCAUAGUAAUUUACUAUAAUAUAACCACGAAAUGGAACUUAAACCCUCUAUGUGCCACAUAUUAUACGCUAUAUGCCAUAUGCCACAUGUCCAAAGACAGUGGAGUAGAACCUAAGUUUCAAAGCCUUGAGCCACUAAAUAAAAAAAUAAAGCCAAACUCCCAAGCAUAGAGCCUAAUAGAGCAUGGAACAAUUCUUGAGCAUACAGCCCAAGAAGCAAAGGGAUAGGAGUAUGGAGCAACUUGGAAUCAUUCUAGAGUAUUUAACAUAUUAAUGCCAAAACCAACAUACAAAACAAAGCCAAAUGAAGUCUGGCACUAUUUCAACAUACAAAUGGCCUAAUGCAAGGAUAUGUGUACUCCACCAGUUAGCAUAGUGUGGAAUUUGGGAUUAGACCAAAGCUAUACAUAGAAUAAAAACAAGUAUGCAAGUUGGAGGUAGACUAUAUCUCAAAUUAAUUAACCAUGUUUGACCUACCUAACAUCCUUACUAUACAUUUAGAACAAAGCCCCCCGUGAGGAACACACACUUUGGGCUUUCACCCUUAGUCACCUUUAAUACCAGGAGUAUUAACUCAAAACUUGCUAAAUAUGGAAUGGCAUUAAAUUAUAAAUUUUGACACAGGAUCAACACCAUUGUGUUUAGAACAAUUUCUACAUUCUAUAGAUUUGCUAAAUUAACAUAUUUAAACACUUUCUAUAAGUAGUAAUUAGGACUAAAUAGAAUUAACACAAAGUGUAUAAUAGCAAAAGUGUACACAAUAAGCUAUCACUUAGCGAAUAUUGAGGGAUUAAACUCAAUAUUUUAGAGGUUCCAAGCACUAGCAAAUGCAAGUUAACAUAUGAAUUUCUCCUACAAGGACAAGUAUGCUCAGUAAAAAAACAUAUAGAAGUCCUUACUUUAUAUUUAUUCAGCAUAAGUACAUAGAUAAUGACAAUUUUCUCAACUAACUCGGUGGAAACUGAUAAAGGGUCUAACAAUACUAACUUAGCAGUAAAUAAAGAAUAUUUAAAAGGAUUAACUAACAAAUAACUUUUGAUACCUACAAUCACAUUCACAACACUCUCCCCUUUUUAGGGACCUAAACAAAAUGGUGAUUAACCCAUAAUGUUGUGAUUGCAUUCCAAGCUGUCACUGGUCUCGGCAAAGAUCUUCAUAGCAUGCUUAUGAUGCCCAUUCUGAGCAUAUGCCACGAGCAUAGCACACCAUGAAACCAGAUCUCUAUCGGGCAUUGCCACUUUGCCUUUUCAGAAUGCCCGUGAAAAAACUGAAAGCAAUUUAUUCCAGGAAAAAAAAAUUCUACCUAUCGAUUGCACUUCUUCCCAACACCAGCAUAGCAGAUAUUUCUCUUGCAUUGCAUUGAACAUCCGCUUCCUGCCGUAAAGAUCAGCAUCCAAGACACCAGCGGCAUUGCAUCAAACAGCUCCUUUGCUGCCUCAGCCUAAAACAUAGUAAUUUAAUUAGAAUUUGCUCCUAGUAGAGCAUUGGAGGUAUCCGCAGGAACACUGUGCUCCUUGCACAAAGCCUGGAGGGGCAGUUCAUGUGUGUAUAAUGCAGCGAGAAUACUUGGAUGGAGAUGGGAGAACUAACGCUUGAGGACGAGAAGAAGAAUUACCGGAAGCAGGGUCUGGUCGAAGAUGGAGGCUACUUGGAUGGGCUGGAUUUCAGUAAGCUCUAUUGUCGGCAAUUACAAUGUCUCCAUGCUCGUGUCCAGAUCAAGGAAUACAGCUGGCAUCUCGGUAGGCAGAUCGAGUCCCACAUAUGGAGAACAAUUCACGGGCACUGCCACCUUGCAGUGCGUAAGCCCUGGAAAAACAAAGCAAAGCAAAUCAGAAAUCGUAGCUCCAGCACAAAAACCUCUCAACCUUGCACAGAUCGCUGAGAGACUUUUCGAGAUGCUCGGUAUGGCUGGAACUGGAAGUCGGGAAAGACGGAUUCUGGGACAGGUUACUGUCCCAUACAAGGCACUUAAGGCUAUCAGAGCCUGAAGUCUUUGACAGCAACCAUGCCAAUGAAGCCGGACAUGGAAAAACCACAUUAACCUGUCCCAGUGUCGAACACUUCGUCGUUCUUCUUCGAAGGCCUCCACACGUAGUUGAUAGCAUCCUCGCCUGCAGCACACGAACUUAGCAAGACCUUUGCGAUACAAUUAGACUAACCUGUUGCAAGUAAAGUAUCCUCAAGAUCGCCAUCGUAAUACCGUACUAGAAUGGACACCGUCUGUGCUUUCGGCUGCCCUGUGCAAGCAUUGCAAUGAUACCAUCGUCCCGUUUUUCUCAACCCAGGGCACUUCACAUGGUACCAGCUCUGGCAGCCGUUGGUCAACCAUUUCCUUCUUCCUGUUAUGAAGAGCGGUCAGUCACGUGGACUGCCACGUAGAUAGGGGAGAGGAGUCUCAUGUGAUCUUUCCCUCGAUUGAAUCCAAUCUACAAGUCAAGAUCUUAUCACUUCCGAGGAUCGUUCCUCUGCUUACAGGAGUUGCAGCAAAUGUUGUCAACCUAUCGAAACAGAAGAAAAGAAUGAUGAGUAACUGUGGAGUGGACGUUAUAUCCUACCCUUGGCAUAACCAGGAGCUCAGAUUGCAGAGCUUUCCGGAUGCGUUCGAAGACGAAACCUCACAAAGCAGCAUAUUCCGGAAAGUGCUGGGACGCUUGAAGGACAUCUCAGCAUAUAGACCUGCCACCUUGGUCGAGCAGAAGGUGUAGUAGUACUCGCUGAAAGAUCCAUGACACAACUUGAAGUGAAAAAGCCUCCAAAACAUGUCUCGAGUGAGAACCAUACUCAGGUGCUUCAAUCCCUUUCGAAAGCUUCCACAGUCAGACCGUUUGCUUCUACAUCCCAAAGAAACCAGGGGAUACCUCCAAACCAUUCAAACGCCAUUUCAGCAGCAUUCACUCUCUGCAUUAUCUCUUUGGCUUCUCGUAGUCUGUCACGCGUUUCCUCCAAGAAGACACAAGAGCAUCGUACUUGUGCUUUUCCCACGCAGGCAGAUAGCGAGUGAACGUUGUCCGCUUGGCUUUUCUGACAUUGAACUCGUCUGGAGAUGAAGCAGCAACAAGGGCUUUAUUUCCAACCAUCCACCCCAAGUCCACUCACUGAUCGAUGAGAUGGUAAUCUACUUUGCUGUCCAGCACAAUCUCCUGAGGGAAGUCUUCUCUAUUCACCACCCUGAGCUUGUCACCCUCGAACAUCAAAACAGUUGCUCUGGACUCGUAGAUCAUAGAGGAAUGCAGAUAUACCAACCCCCCGAAUUUCCAUUCAAAUGGCAGCACAACAUCCACAUGAACGGCGCCAGGAUCUUCUUCAUCUCUUUGUACAACCCAUCGAAUAUCUCCCUCACGUACAGCUUCAGAAUAUUGCUGUGGAAUGUGGUCAGACGAGCACCUUGAGCAAGAAAUUUCAUCCGUUCCAGAUCGAACAUUGAUCCACCAUGCCUGCACUUCCUCGCUGAGAUCUCCUAACCGAGCUUAGUCUUUGUACUGUGGGUUCCUUGUAAAAGAUUGUAAUUAGAAGCUCUAUUAGCUAAAAGAGUGAUGGAAUCACAAGGAAUCCAAUCACGGUGGAGUUCUUCAGGCCACUUUAGCACACGACAAUGACAUCCUCAAUGUUAACAAUCCACCUUGUGUGUAUUAGUGCUCCACGAUCGGGCAAGUCUCCGCAUAGGUUCAUCAUUUGGCGAGGAGCCCCACGUAGCUACAUGUUAUGUCUAGCAUUCUUGAGGCCAGUUUCGUCCUUCUAGGUGGUACAUCCUGACAAAGAACUUUUCUAAUUUCCGAAGUGAAUGUGAUCUAGUCGGAAACCAUUCCUUCCAAGACCAUGUCCUGGUAGAGGAUCAAAUUAAAGCGUGGAAGAAAUUUUCAGUGAGAGCGUAGGCCUAGCAGUCCAUGCGACAAUGUUGUGGCACUCGGGCAUUUGAUCGAACAUUGCCCGUGCCAUGUGUGCGUCGUUUUGAGUGUAGAACUCAUGCUUUUCCACGGUAUGUAUGGUUCUUCUCGUGCUCAUUUUGCUUAUACUCUUGUCCAGAUUGCUUCAUUCCUCAUAGAUGUAUUUUCCAAGAUAAUGGAGGCCUGUAGUUCAUCAACAUCCAAGGCGUGGAGUGACCACAAUGCAACUUGUGAUGAGAUGAGUUUGUGACCUGGUACACUUUUGUGUUAUGCCAUCUGCUCUUUGGAAACUUUUGAGAAAGCUUGCUCUCAGCUGAUUGAGUUUGAGCUCGGUCAAGGCUCUCACAAGAUUGGACAAUAGUGUGAAAGACAGAUGAUGGCCAUACUUUUGGCACCCAAAACCAUGUGUUUGACGAUAAGUUUAACUUUCUAGUUGCACCAAGAUCACCACCAAUUCCAUGAGGUGUAAUUUGUUUAUGUUGAAUCUAGGAUUUUUCUCAAGAGCUUCCCUAGUUUAUUGGAUCUCUGGUGCAACCCUAGAGUUUUUUUGCGGGUGGAGCUUUCACGGUUUCAGAGCAAUAUAUUAUUGCCAAGAAAAGGCAUCAAAACUUGAGUCUCACGCCCCGAGGAUCUGAAAGGAUCGAAACCUAUGGACCUCCGGCUUUGACAACCAAGUGAAGAAUAGAUUCCCGGGACCAGGGUGCCUGGAUCAAAUCAAACUCGAGCUCAGGCAAGCCAUCUUCCAGAACAAUAUCUUAAACAAAUGUUGCUAUUUCUUGUUGCAGCAUACUUAUACUUUGUUUCUCAAAAGUAACUUGCUUGCUCAGAUUGAGAUGCAGAGUCCAUCCAACCCAUUUUGUUUGCCAUGGCCUCGCCAGAGCAUGGAGCAAGUGAUCCAUCGAGAAGAGAAUGGUUUCUUUCUUGAGCUUGACAGCACCAACGAGCUGAGCGCCAUGCGCCCACAAAACGAAAAUCUCUUGCGCCGCUGCUUACAUUAUGGUAUACGUUAAGAAGCAAUUAGUGUACACUUUCGACGGGAACCUGAUGUAUCUGGCUAGAAUAAAGAAAUAUAUUGGCAAGGUCACAGGUUCGAAUCCACAGCCAGAGACCCAUUCAAAUUUUUUUGUAUGAACGAGGGAUUGCUCUUCUCCGCAAAGUCGCGUUGCUGGAGCUAAAUCUUCUAUCGUGCCGAUCCCCCAGGCCCGACGCCACGAAUGAUCCACUCCGCCGCGCAGGGUUCAGGCUCUUGAUAUUCCCUUUCACUGGCAAAUGCGAGCAGCAAGAACAGGGCAUUCGAUCUUGUUCGAUUGAAUGCCCCAGAGGAAUCUCGUGUCCUGCAACACGGUCGUACAAUCCUACAUCUGGUCAGCCAGGCAAACAAGAUCUUGGAUUGACGUGGUCGGUUGGCACUCACUCAGUACACUGUAUGCCGAGUCCGGGCAUCUUGAGAUUUCCAAGAACAAGGAGUUCCGUGAUCGUCUUCUGGAACACGAUGAUCACCGUGUAUGUGGCGGCAUCCCGCAUCCGAGACUGAGAGUCUAUGUUUGAUUGCGUCUCAGAGCGCCAUGGAACUCGAUGAUAAUGGCACUCGCGCACCAAGGGCAAAUUGUGGCAGUGAAAUCGACCUUGGGCAAAAACGCUGGCCAAGGAUCUCGUGUCCUGGACGAAUCUACUCCCCAGAAUGACAGGACGUUCCAAGACGUGGCGACAGCCACCAAGGCUUCGUUGCCCGCAUGAAGAACAGCUUCGGUCAAAUCCCAGUACCGUGGAUCCUCGCAUUUGCGAGAAUGGGCAUUUUGACAAGGCCAUUCAUGAGAUCCUGCGCAAGACCAUUGUCUGCUGGAUAGCUCUCACGCAAGUUUCAACUUGAGCACCACUAAGAGCAUGUUUGAGAGCAUGAAGAUGCACACUUUGGUUUCCUGGACAACCAAAGCUCAAAACGGGCACUACGAUCGAGCAGUGGAAGUCUUCCAGCUUAUGAAUCUCGAGGGUGUUAAGCUGGACGAGUUGAUGUUCCAGAGCGUUUUAACUUCAUGCAGCCAUGCCGAGCUGGGAACACUUGGUCUUGAUCAGCCAAUACUUUGGGAUGGUGGCGAGGAGAGGGCACUCUAUAUUUCUGCAUGAUCGACAUCCUGGGUUGAUCCAGGAGAACUUUGAGUGUGGAGGAGCUCCUCAAACUCGAUGCCAUUCCUUCCAGAUGUCGUGAUCUGGAUCCCCCUCCAUGGCACACUUCCCAAGAACCCUAGGUAAGCUUUAAAGGCUCCUUUAAAUUGCUGUUUAACUUAAGUCACAGCUUCUGAUUGUGCUGAGAGAGUCGCAGCAAAUAUCUUUGAGAGUGCUGGAGCCCUGCUACACUACUGGUCUCUCAAACAUGUACUCUGUCGAUUACACAUUGGGAGGUGGGACAAGGUCUCAAUCAUUUGGAACCUGAUGAGGUCGAGGCGAGUGAGAAAAGUUCUAACAUCAUUCGAGUUGGUAGCAAAGUUCACAGCUUCGUGGUUGCAGCAAAGACAUCAUCGAGGAGCGUAGGGGAGAGAGCAAAAGGAGGAGCUGCUUCACUACCACCAGCGUUGUGGCUUUUGGAUUGAUCAGCAGGGAACAAGGGAUAUAUGUUGCAGUGAAAGCAUUGCUUUCCCACGGUUCUUCUUUCACCCUUUUUGCUCUAAAUACUCUUGUUGUGGACAGCCACCUUUUGGCUUUGAGUACUUUCCAUUCUUCACACAGGAUGUGACUUGAAAUUUCAUGGAGUUUUUCAAAUCUUUGGUCUUGUUGCUGCUAGGAACAAGCAUCAGACUUGGAUAGAAUGCCACAAGAAAAUCCCUUGAUGAAAUCUCAAGCUCCCCAGGAUUUGAAAGAACAGAAAAGUACCUCCAGCCUUAACUUUGCUGUUAAUCAAGGGCGUGCCUGGAUCAAUUUAAUCUUGUUGCACGUGGCGACUCCGAGAUGGGCUAAAUAUGGUGAAAACCUUAACUUUUGGGUUUAAAAUAUGAUGUGGACCAAUCAGAGACGAGAUAGCGUGGAUAAAACUUCAGAAGUUAGCAUUGACAUUGACAUGCGCUGUAUGUGUAAGCACGCUAUACCAUUUGCAUAUGCUCUCUACAGUGUGACAAGCCAUGGCUUUCUCUUGUCCUGGUGUAGGUGACAGAUGCUGCACACACACCAUUCUGUCCAGCCCUCACCAGAGCUCGCCACUGCCUUGUCUAUAAACAAGCCGCUAGUCUGUGUGCAUGGUGGUGCUCCAUUCCCACACCUUCCCUUACAUAUGUUUCUUGACCCCUUGUUCCCACCCAAUCACUCCUGCCGCAUGCAUCCAGGACAUAUGGAUAAAGCACCUUCCAGGCUGAACUCCCAUAACUCCAUCCUUGUGUUUUUCACUUGCCAUGCUGGCCACACGAGUCUAGUCACCAAUCGUUUGCUAGGGCACGCCGCCCUUAUCCUGCCAGCCCUGUGGCUAUUUUGGCUGCCGGAUCGGCACUCACGGCCUACCAUGCCCCUGCGUGUGGGGGCAGAAUAUGGAGAAGUUUAAGGCACUAGAGGAGCUGCUGUCUAAUGGGAUCCGGGAUGAUGCCGCCCUGUAUGUAGUGAACAGGAGAUCAUUUUACAAACCCGGGUUUGUAACUUUUCCCUUCCGUGAUUACUUUUGGACGUGUUGUUUGGGUAUGGUGGGACGGUUUCUCAUCUCCCGACCAGCUCAAGCAUGCUGGUUGCUCACUGGAGCAAGUUCCCAACAAAUCCAGCAAAGGGUGACGAGAAGAUGAUACUGAUUCUGCUAGGGCUCCUCAUGGUCAAAGAGAGUCCCAAGCUGACCGAGGCAACCUGGAAAGACUUUUAACUCCACAUACCAUUUGAUGGUGGUUUAGCUGCUGUUUAAACCUGGGUUUGUAAAAUGAUCUCCUGUCCACUACAUAUGGGAUGGCGUCAUCCUGGAUCCCAUUAGACAGCAGCUCCUCCAGUGCCUUAAACUUCUCCAUAUUCAGACUAUAGGGUAGGCAUAGGGUAGUUGGUGCACUCAAAGUAUGGUUCCAGGCAGCCAAAAAUAGGCCCAGGGCCAAUGUUGCUUGGUCAGCUUGGGACUCUCUUUGACUGUGAGGAGUCCCAGCAGAAUCAGUAUCAUCUUCUCAUCACCCCUUACUGGAUUUGUUGGGAACUUGCUCCAGUGAGCAACCACACAAACAUGCUUGAGCUGGUCCGGAGAUUGAGAAACCGUCCCACCAUACACAUGGUAGGACACCACCCAAACAACACGUCCAAAAGUAAGCACGGAAGGGAAAAGUUACAAACCUGGGUUUGUAAAAUGAUCUCCUGUUCACUACGUAUGGGACGGUGUCAUCCCGGAUCCCGUUAGACAGCAGCUCCUCCAGCACCUACCUUCUCCAUAUUCAGACUAUAGGGGUAGGGUAGUUCGGUGCGUUCGCGCGGCCUAAAAUAGCCCCGGGGCCAUAUUUGGCGCGGGCAGGAUAAGGCCGGCGUGCCCUAGCAGUGUCAUACUUUUAACAGCUGGCGACUAAACUCGCGCGGCCAGGAUGGCGGAUGGAGUUAUGGAGGUACUCCACGGACGAAUGCUGGAGUUCAAGCCCUGCACGGUGCUUUAUCCAUAUGUCCCGGAUGCAAUGGCGGAUGCAUGGGGCACACUAACAGCACGGACAUGCGGUGAGUGUGGAAUCACGGAGCUAGGUGGGAACAAGGGGUCAAGAAACAUUUGUAAGAGAAAAUGGAGCGCCACCAUGCACACAGACUAGCGGCUUCUUUUUAGACAAGGCAGUGGCGAGCUCUGGUCAGGGCUGGACAGAGUGGUGGGUGUGCAGCAUCUGUCACCAACACCCGGACAAGAGAAAGCCAUGGCUUGUCACACUGUCAAGAGCAUAUGCAAACGGUAUAGCGUGCUUACACACCGGGCUCACACAGCGCAUGUCAAUGUCCACAGAAAGUUCAAUGCAAUUGCAAAGGGUGGCAUCUCAAGUCCGAUGCUUUUGGAGAACCCCAUUGUCGAUUGGAGAGGUACACACGAGGGCUCAACCUUUUGCUCACGGGAGUACAUCCCGGCUUGCAGUAGGUGGACAGCGUGGUUGGUGUAAUCUCUUCUGGUGCUGCACACCCUUUUGGUAACUCGGGAACAGUUUGGUGGCACAUCCUCGUCACUUUCUCCAAACCAGGUUGCUCCAAACCCUAGAACCGGUUCGAAUCCACAGCUAGAGACCCAAUCAAAAAAUUUUGCAACACUUGGUGCGCUUGUUCUUGCUUUGCAUCUUGGAAGCUACUGUGAUCAGAGCGAGCUCAUCUCGGGACGAUGGGAAAAGCCAAGAGCUACUUGUCGUCCAUAGCCAAAGACGACAGCAUCUCCACGAUCAUGGAACACUUAAGAUGCUUGGUGGAUCCCCUGGGGAGAUCUGGGAAGCUAGACGAGGCCAGUGUCGAGCCAAAUUUCAGCGCUGGAGAAUGAAAGAGUGGGGAAAAGUCCGAUGCUAGUGUAGCUCCAACCAUUCUUCUCAAUCCCUGUCGAAUACACUCGAAGGAAUGUCCCCGAAUGAGGCUCGAAUGUGCUCUUGGCACAAGUGAUCCAGGCCAGGCCAGGCCACAACGACGACUAGCGCGUGGAUCUCCGCCGGAUCGGCAUUGACAGCUGCCAAGAGAAAUAACUGGAUGCUCGAAAAAGAGUGACAAGUGCAAAUGCCGCGAUCGCAAUCUUCCACGAGAAAGAACCUCGAUCUUUCAUGGAAGAUUUCCAGCGCCCGCACUUUCCAUACAUUUCUAUGACCAGAUUAGCAAGGAACCUCGAGGCCGCUGGAGACGAUUUUCCUCGUGGACGCCUUCCCCCUCCCAGAUCUGUGCUCACCGCAUUCUCGCCCAGGCGCCCACCGCUGGAGAUCGCUCCUCCUUCCUGCAAAUCUUCGCUGGAUGGCACCUCCUCGUCAAGGCUCAAGAACGACGCCAUGGAAAACCACCGCCAUUGCCAUUAUACGCUACUGCUGCACAUUUCCGAUCCAGGGGGCUCUUUACCCGGGCGGUCUGCUGCUGCCGGGCGUGCUCUAUGAGUCGAGCAGCAUGGUCUUUCUUCUCAGUCUCAGACAUCUUCAAACUAGGCUCACAAGCACAAGCACUGCUUUUUGGCGGUAUGUAUGGUUCUUGUCGUGCUCAUUUUGCUUAUACUCUUGUCCAGAUCGCUUCAUUCCUCAUCUCCGCCACCCUUUGGCCUCGAGUAUUUUCCAAGAUAAAUGGAGGCCCGUAGUUCAUCAACAUCCAAGGCGUGGAGUGACCGUGAUGAGAUGAGUUGGUGACCUGGUAUACUUUUGUGUUAUGCCAUCUGCUCUUUGGAAUCUUUUGAGAAAGCUUGCUCUCAGCUGAUUGAGUUUGAGCUCGGUCAAGGCUCUCACAGGUUUAUUGGAUCUCUGGUGCAACCCUGGAGUUUUUUUUGCGGGUGAGUAAGCUUUCACGGUUUCAGAGCAAUAUAUUAUUGCCAGGAAAAGGCAUCAAAACUUGGAGCUCCGAGUCUCACGCCCCGAGGAUCUGAAAGGAUCCAAACCUAUGGACCUCCAGCUUUGACAACCAAGUGAAGAAUAGAUUCCCGGGACCAGGGUGCCUGGAUCAAAUCAAACUCGAGCUCAGACAAGCCAUCUUCCAGAACAAUAUCUUAAACGGAUGUUGCUGGUUCUACUUAUACUUUGUUUCUCAAAAGUAGCUUCUGCAUCAGCUGCUUGCUCAGAUUGAGAUGCAGAGUCCAUCCAGAGCAUGGAGCAAGUGAGAGUUGAGUUUCAUUCCAUCCAGAAGAGAAUGGUUUCUUUCUUGAGCUUGACAGCACCAACGAGCUGAGCGCCCACAAAACGAAAAUCUCUUGCGCCGCUGUUUACAUUAUCGUAUACGUUAAGAAGCAAUUAGUGUACACUUUGGACGGGAACCUGGUGGCCGGAUAUCUGGCUAGAAUAAAGAAAUAUAUUGGCAAGGUCACAGGUUCGAAUCCACAAGCCAGAGACCCAUUCAAAAAUUUUUGUAUGAACGAGGGAUUUCUCGGCAGCGUUGCUGGAGCUAAAUCUUCUAACGAAUGAUCCACGCCGCCGCGCAGGGUUCAGGCUCUUGGAUCGCGCGAUAUUCCCUUUCGCUGGCAAAUGCGAGCAGCAAGAACAGGGCAUUCGAUCGAUGCGGCGUCAAUCUUGUUCGAUUUGAAUGCCCCAGAGGAAUCUCGUGUCCUGCAACACGGUCGUACAAUCCCACAUCAAUCUCAGCCAGGCAAACAAGAUCUUGGAUUGACGUGGUCGGUUGGCACUCACUCAGUACACUGUAUGCCGAGUCCGGGCAUCAUGAGAUUUCCAAGAACAAGGAGUUCCGUGAUCGUCUCCUGGAACGCGAUGAUCACCGCGUAUGUGGCGGCAUCCCGCAUCCGAGAGUGAGAGUCUGUGUUUGAUUGCGUCUCAGAGCGCCAUGGAACUCGAUGAUAAUGGCGCUUGCGCACCAGGGGCAAAUUCUGGCAGCGAAAUCGACCUUGGGCAAAACGCCGGCCAAGGAUCUCGUGUCCUGGACGAAUCUACUGUCCAGAAUGACAGGACGUUCCAUGGGUUCCCCUUCCAGCAGUGAAUACCAGAGGGGGGAUUUGGCCACCUCCAAAGAAAUCUUUGAUUUCAUGCCGGAUGAAGACGGUAUUGAUUCGGCCAGUAGCUGCUCUCCAGAAUCCGCGCGUGGAUCCUCCAAAUCUCUGGCCUCGCAGCCCCUGGAUGUCGUCCACGUGGACAGUCACAAUUUUUCUUUUGCACUCCAAAUCCAAUAAGAGGUGCUGAAACUACAUUUUAUUAUCUCCCAGUGUUCAUGGCUUUGUGGUUAUAGUAUGCAUGCUGUAAUGUUCUAUUGUGUACGGUUGCUGGGUUCGAUUCCCAUCCGCCUCAACUUUCAAUUAAGAAUACUACGGUCUUAGGGGCGCCCCCUAACAUGAACACUAUUUUAUUAUUUUAUUAUUAAAUUAACUGUGUUGUUAAGUACCAUUUUAUUAUUUUCGUUUUUUUAACACUAUACAAUUUGGCUCUCCUCAAAAUCUCACCUAAGAUUAACUGUGUUGAGUUUCUGGGUGUUAAGUUGGUACUAGAUCAUAGUAAAGAAGCCAAACCAAACUUGUAAUCAAUGGAAUCAAUUCUUACAGACUUAAACAAACAGAUCAUUAAAAAGUAUUAACUUAGGUGCAUCUCCACUGUAGUCAUGCAAUAAAAUUUUGUGGAAGGGAAGAUAUAUAUUUGAUUUGCUCCAGCAGCACACAAACAGCACAAACAUGCCAUUGAGCUUACCAAUUCGAUCAUAUAUACCAAAUUCUCAUCAGUUGUCACUUCAGCAUAAUUGAUCAAUCAUACACAAUGUUGUGCCAUUGAAUUCUCGAUGACCCUACCAGCAUAUGCAAGGUUUCCUCACCAUUUGAACAAGAAAGACGCUAGACAACAAGCUAGAAAUGAACAUUUAAACGCAGUUUAUAUUAGUGGUAACUAUAAACAAAUAAAAGGUUAAGAGUGAUACAUCACAGCUGUUGGAUUAAAGGAUAUCUUAGAAUAUACCAUCCAAACCAUUAGAUUUUAGUGCGGCUACGGUUUCGCGUGGCUAUGGACCAGGGGUGAGGUGAGAGAGACUUGGGUAUUCGUCUUCCUCUGUGCAGCGGAAAGCUGCCAUCUCUCGAUGUUUGGGUCCCUUGAAUCCCUUGGAGCUCUCCAUCCGGUUGCACCCAGACAAAGGCGACAUUUUCCAUCCCCUCUCUCUCAACUACACAACAGGCCUGUCGUGCCGGACUUGGGACGAGCUGGUCCAGGAGCUCAGCUGCAUCUAUUCUGACACAAUUGCUGCACUCCCUGACGCAUCCCUUCCGGAUGCCAAGAUGCGGCAAAAUGCGGCGAUCAUCCAAGGCAUCCAGCCGCCCAAGGACGAAAGGGAGCCGGCUUGGAUGUCGAAGCUGUCCGAGAUUUGCAGAGGUAGGAUCGACGUGGACUUGCUUUUGUGCCACAAAUUCAUGCUUGCCUUUCGCUACCAUCUGGACGUUAACGACUCAAACGUCGUCUCCAUGGACAAGGAGCAAGAUUGCCAGGACCUAAUCAUGCAAGAUGAAGAAGAGCUCUACAUUGAUCAUCACCUCCCUCGAGCUCAAGCUGACACCGUGGCUUAACAGCCUGGUAUGGGUACCUCUACCCCCCCACUUCUAUCCCGAAGGGAAGGCCUAAGCCCGUAGGAAGGGCAAGGACUAAUGAGUCACUAUCAAGACCCCCAACAAGAUCAAGACUGGAAAAUGCAAAAGACAAAGAGAAAAGUUAAUAGAAACAAAGAAGAGGCCUUAAACUAGUGUUGAUUCAGAUUGUGGAGAAAUGGAACAAGGCUAACCUAUAUAUACUAUAGGUUGAUGAAGCUCCACCACUCUUGGAUCGAGGACGGCCUAAAUAUAGCUGAGGUCGAGGAGGCGCCACAUCAUCAUCAGGAAUGUGGCUCAAGACUUAGGAAUUGUACAGGAAAUCAGAGAGUCAAGAAUAGGGAAAAGUCUCGAGAGUCAGGAAUAGGGAAGUGUCUUGAGAUUCAGGAAUGUGGUCUGUAGGUCAGGAAUCCAGCGAGAUUCAGGAAUGUGGUAUGAAUUGGGGGAUUCCUGACAACACCCCCUCCUCAAGAACGAGUGGAACGAGGACGUGAAUGAGAACGAAGAGGAGGAUGAGAUGGGCAGCGAGGGACGAGAGAUGGAGAGAAAGAAUGAGGACUAGGACGAGAAGGAUAGCGGCAGUGGAAGUCCUAAACAAGGUCAAGAGAAUGAAUCAGGUUGUCCGCAGGUUCCGAAGUGUGUUCUUCAGGUCCAUAACCCUUCCAGUCGACCAGAUAGUAGAGUUUAGACCAUGAAAUCUUGGAAUCAAGGAUGUCCUAAACCUCGUACUCAGACCCAUCCUCAAGCUACACUGGUGGAGGCGGAGGAAUGACCCAAUUUGGAAUAGGACUGGGAAUAUAAGACUCAAGGAGAGAGGGGUGAAAAACGGGGUGAAUUUGAUAGGAGGAGGGAAGUGCAAGGCGAUAAAUAACAGAAUUAAUGAUAGCAGUGAUAGGGAAAGGACCAAGGCAUUUGAAAUUGAGUUUGGGACAUAGCCUGGUGGUGGAGAUAUUUCGCCUGAGGAGCCAGACUUUAUCCCCAAUAUUGUAAGGUGGACAAUCCUGACGAUGGGCAUUGGCAAAUGUUUUGUGAGAUUCCUGAGCACGAUGGAGGUGGAAGGAGAUGGAGUUGUGGAUUUCCUGGAGGUUGGAGACAAAUGUCUCAGAGCAGGGAUUUGAAUGAGAGGAUUCGGAUGGAGAAGGAAGUGAGAGAUUGAAUUAGGGAUUUCAGCCAGAGUUCGCAAAGAAGGGGGAAACUCGAAGAGAGGAGUGAACAAAGUUGUUAUAGGAGAACUUAGCAAGGGGAAGGAUAUCGAACCAGUCAUCCUGAUGAUAGUUGAUGAAGCACCUUAGGAAUUGUUCUAACGUCUAAAUCAUUCACUCGGACUGUCCAUCAGUUUGAGGAUGAUAUGCCGAAGAGAGGUUGGCCUUCACUCCAAGCAGUUGCAAAAACCAUUGCCAGAAAUGAGAGAUGAACUAAGGUCCCCGAUCCGAAACCACAUCUGCAGGAAUCCCAUGAAGUCGGAAAAUUUCCCUGAAUACCAGUUUUGCCAUAUCCUCGCCCGAAAACUCCUUGGUACACGGCAAGAACUGCACCAUCUUUGUGAAGCGAUCCACCAUGACUAAAAUGCUAUUGAAGCCUCCAGAACUCGAAAGAUCACUCAAGAAAUCCAUGGAGAUGGAUUCCCAAGGACUUGAAGGGACCGGGAGGGAACGAAGCAAACCUGAAGGAAGGUGGUGAGGUACCUUAUUUCAGUGUCACAGGAGGUAACAAAAGUUUUGAUGUAAUCGUCCAUGUGAGGCCACCAAAAGUCCCGUGCAACCAGCUCAUAGGUCUUUGCGAUGCCGAAGUGACUAGCAGUCGGGCUAUCGUGGCACGCCAUCAGGACCAACCUUCGAGCAUCACCUUCAAGAAUGUAAAUCUGCUCCCCACGGUAUAACAAGCCAUCUAAGAACUCGAACUCGUCAAAUCGCCGGCAGUCGGGAGUCACUGGGUGUCCAGCCUGAAGAUGGGGGAAAAUGUCGCUGGCAAGGUCAUCGGAUUGAAGAUCAUUUCUGAUCGCAUCCAUCAAGGAGGAGUCUUGAGGGGCCAGGGAAAUUUCCAUAACUUGAAGCCGAUUAGGACCACAGAUAACUUGAUCCUGUUGAUCGAAGGUAGGAUUACCAGGCCUGAGACUAAGAUAGGAGCGCCUUAAAAGAGCAUUAGGAAGGCCUUGAAGCUUUCCAGGUCUAUACUUGAUAACAAAGUCAAACCGACUUAGGAAUUGUGCCCACCUUGCUUGACGAUGGCUCAAAACUCGGGAAGUGGCAAAGUACUCAAGAUUUUUGUGAUCCAUCCAGACUGUUGUUUGAUGGCCCGCCCCCUCCAAGAAACGGUGCCACUCUCCAAAGGAAUCCACGAUGGCAAGGAGCUCCUUGUCGUGGAUUUCGUAAUUGAUCUCCGUAGGCUGGAAUUUCCGAGAAUGGAAAGCAAUCGGAUGAAGUUCGUGAUCCGCUCCGAGUUGAGACAACAUAGCACCGAUGGCAAAGUCGGAGGCGUCAGCCUCGAUGAAGAAAGGUUGUGAGGGAUCAGCGUGGAUCAAGACGUGAGCAGAACUGAAGGCCGCCUUGGGUGUGUCGAAGGCCUGUUGGGCAGCAGCAGACCAAGAGAAGGGAACAUCCUUGCGAGUGAGAUGCGUGAGAGGAAGGACAAUGUCAGAGUAGUGAUCAAUGAAUUUGCAGUAGAAGUUGGCGAAGCCAAGGAGAACCUGAACGUCCGACAUUGAUUGUGGAGGCUCCCAUUCGAGAAUAGUCUUGACUUUGGCAGGAUCCAUUGUGAUACCCUCAUGAGUGACAAUGUACCCAAGGAACUCCACAGACUGCUGAUCGAAGGAACAUUUCUCAAGCUUCGUGUAUAGGCCGUGUUCUUGCAGCUUUGCCAGCACCUUGCGUACAUGUUUGUCAUGCUCCUCCUGAGUUUUUGAGUAGAUGAGGAUGUCAUUGAGGUAGAAGAUCACCAUCUGAUCAAGAAACUCUCGAAAGACGUCGUUCACCAUGUGUUGGAAAACUGCUGGAGCAUUUGUCAGGCCAAAUGGCAUGACAGUGUACUCGAAGUGGCCAUAGCGGGUUCGGAACGCAGUCUUCCAUUCAUCACCAGGCCGGAUCCGGAUUAGGUUGUAUGCUCCACAGAGGUUGAUCUUGGUGAAAAAGCGGGCACUGCCGAGGCGUUCCGACUGGUCCGAGAUCAGGGGCAGCGGAUAACGGUUCCGAACAGUCACCUUGUUCAAACCUCGGUAGUCGAUGACUAGCCGCAAACUCCCAUCCUUCUUCUUGACAAAGAAGAUAGGCACUCCAGCCGGGGACUACGAAUGCUGAAUGUACCCCAAGGCAAGGUUCUCAUCCACGUACUCUUUGAGGGCAUUAAGCUCGGAUGGGGAUAACCCGUAGAUAAGCCCCCACGAAGUGUAAGCCACAAAUUUUUCCUUUCCAAUUUGCUAGCUUACCUCGUCUAUUCGACCAACACUGCCUUGGCUUGUGUUAAGUUCCCUCGCUAAGGUUCCUGCCUAUUGUACUAGCUCUUACUUGGUCCUACUUGGUUUUAGCUACUCACUGCACAAGCAAUGAAGCGUUAGCCAUCCAUCCACGGAUUCCCAAAUCUCUCCCAAUCCCCCUCCCUAGGUUAGACUGGACUUAAGGUUCGGCUACACUCCCCGUAGGCACAAGCAGCCAAGCACACCAAGCCUCCAGGUUCCUAACACCCCUUGGUACCACAAGACUUGAUCAUGGGACCCUCUAAAUCCCAAGCCUUGGGUGCAACACUUGCUUCGGGACAUCGGGGAGAAACACCGUGGCCUAACGGCCCGGUAUGGGUACCUCUACCCCCCCACUCCCAUCCCGAAGGGAAGGCCCAAGCCCCUAGGAAGGGCGAGGACUAAUGAGCCACAAGGUACUCAAGUGGGGCACCACUCCACAUGAGCCGGGAGCACCGCAGUUGGGUUCCCUUUCGGGAGUGGGAGCUGCUCUUGAGCACUUCCCUAGGUGGCCCCUCCGGCACCACCUAAGCCCAUGCUCACUCCCACCUAAGGCCCCUCGGCCCCAGUCUCAACCUCAAGUUAGUUUGGAAGCACCACUGGAGAGUUCCUUCAAGACUAGUUCCUGGACCUCACUAUCCCUACUAUACUUUUGGAACCCCUUGCAGCCCCCCCCCCCCUGGGAGACGCACGCUUUGGGCUUUCACCCCUUGACCCGUAUUAGUAUUUGGACUUAGUCUCAGAUUCAAUCUCAGACUCGAUCUCGGACUCAAUCUCGGACCCGAUCUCGGACUCGACUUCGGACUCGUCCUCGGACUUGGUCUCAGACCCGAUUUGGAUCUCGGACUUCGUCUUGAACUCGGUCUCGAACUCGGUCUCGAUCUCGAUCUCCGAUUCGGCCUUGGCUCGAUCCCGGACUCUAUCUCGAACUCGGUCUCAGAGUUGGUCUUGGACUCGAUCUUCGACUCGGUCCCAUCCAAUGAACUCUUUGUCAUUUCAAUCAAGCUUUCGGGGAUUUUUUAGCCUACCACAUCUUAGGGAGUCGGUUUCUUACACGGAGGUGAUGCUCCUUUCUGUAAAUCAAUGGGACAGUCAUAAGGCUGAUGAAUAGGUAGUACACUAGCUUUUUUCUUGUCAAACACAUCCCCAAAAUCAUGAUACUUCUCAGGAAGACUGACAGGAGAAACAUGCAAAGCAAAAAGGAAAAUAGGUUCUUCAUGAAGGAGUUCUUUCAUAGUGAUUGUGGAGAUAGGAGGAGGCGUACGACUAAAUGGAAUGAUGAGACGAGGAUACUGUCCAGUGUAAGAUGGAAGAGAGGAAAAAGAAGAGGGUGAAAACUUUGUAGAGUCAAGAACAGAACCCUGAUUUGAGUUUAGGGGACUUUUCCUGAUUCGAACUAGAUGAACAGCAGGGGAAGCCAUAGGAGAUGGUGAUGUGGGAGAGAUGAGCUGUAAUUCCUUCCAAUAGAUUUGAGGUUGAUGUAGUUGGAACCAAGGAAGACCGAGCACCACAGAGGAGGACUUGCUGUUGAUGAUGUUGAAGGUGAUAUCGGUGACGAUAGACCCGAUGUGUACUCGAAUGGGCAACAUUUCCCUAAGUCCAAAAGAUGGAGACACAAAAUGCCUGCUGAUGCCUUCAACACUCAGAUCCCGUAUGGUAGAAGAAAGAGGAACGUGAUGUCGGGCAAAAAAGUCCGUGUCCAUGAAGCAGGAAGUUGCACCUGAGUCCAGUAGCGCUAGAGCCUUGAGUCCUGAUUGUUCGGUGAAAGAAAAGAAACAUGGGACGCGGAAGUUGUGGGUAUUGGUGGUGGCUUUGAUGAAAGGUGGUGAGGAGCUUGAUAAAGAAGAAAAGUAAUUUUUAUUCGGGGAGUCCAAACAUACAGCUCCUACUCUGUUUGGACAGGGUCGUUUCCCGACUGCAACAAAAGUGGAUUUUGAGGCAAAGUGAACUCGAGUAGUCGGGGAGGCUGGUCCCAAUUAGGAUCCGCACAGUAGAGGCAAAGAUUAUGAGAUAUUCGACGUUGCUUCUCAGCAGAACUCAACUUCCUUUUGAUGAGUCAGGGAGUACCAGAAAUAUCCAUCGGGAUCGGAGCAGUAGGUUCAGGAGUAUGCCCCGAAGACUCAAGCUGGGAUUCCUGAGUCUGGGACGGAAAAACAGCGGCGCGGUGACUUUCUUGACGACGCUCAAAGAGACAAUUGUCACAUCGAAUAGCUUUAUUGAUGGCGUCCGACAGGUCCUUGGGAUCCUCCAUAGUAAGCAACAAAUCCUUGACACCGUUGUUGAGGCCGAAACGAGAUUGGUCAAUCAGGGCCCGCUCAUCCCACUGAGUGUCCAAGGCAAGGAGUUGGAACUCUGCAGCGUAAAUCGAGGCAGGACGAGACCCCUGAGAGAAACGUCUCAUCUUUGUGGUAGCAGCCCGAACCCGAUCCAUCUCGCCAAAACAUGUUUCGAGCUUCUCUUUGAACAAUUAAAGAUCCAUCAGCUCCGGAACCACGACCCCUUUCAUGUUCUUCUCCAGAAGAGGAGAAAACCAUGACAAAGUUGCAGCUUCAAGCAAUGUCCCAAUCACGCCAAUUUGAGACUCGGGAGUGGGGUACUGUCGAUGUUGAAGUGCGAAGAUCAGCUCCAUUUAGUUUAGGAAUCCGCGAAGCUUCAAACGCUUGCCUGAAAAUUUCGCCGGGAAACUCACCUUUGGUUCAGGAACUUUGCUAGAUCCUUGAGCCGAAAGUGAAGCAAGCUCCUGCUACAUGCGAAGAAGGGUCGCCUUCAGCUUGGUAUUCUCAGACUGGAUUUUUGCAAGGACUUCGGCAAAGAAAUCAGGAUGGCUUGGAGACUCCAUCGGCAGAAAGAAAGAAAAAGGGGGAAAAAAGGCAAAGGCAGUCAAAUAAUCAAAACGAGCUAAAGGAAAAAAAAUGAAAAAACACAAUCUGAAUCAAACGAUCAAGACCCCCAACAAGAUCAAGACUGGAAAAUGCAAAAGACAAAGAGAAAAACUAAUAAAAACAAAGAAGAGGCCUUAGACUGGUGUUGAUUCAAAUUGUGGAUAAAUGGAACAAGGCUAACCUAUAUAUACUAUAGGUUGAUGAAGCUCCACCACUCUUGGAUUGAGGAUGGCCUAAAUAUAGCUGAGGUUGAGGAGGCACCACAUCAUCAUCAGGAAUGUGGCUCAAGACUUAGGAAUCGUACAGGAAAUCAGAGAGUCAGAAAUAGGGAAGUCUCGAGAGUCAGGAAUAGGGAAGUGUCUUGAGAAUUAGGAAUAUGGUCUACAAGUCAGGAAUCCAGCAAGAUUCAGGAAUGUGGUAUGAAUUGGGAGAUUCCUGACAGCCACAAGGUACUCAAGUGGGGCACCACUCCACAUGAGCUAAGACCACUGCAGUCGGUUUCCCUUUCGGGAGUGGGAGCUGCUCUUGAGCACUUGCUUGGGUGGCCCCUCAGGCACCACCCGAGUCCAUACUCACUCCCACCCAAGGCCCCUUGGCCCCAGCCUCAACCUCAAGUCAGUUUGGAAGUACCACUGCAGAGUUCCUUCAAGACUGGUUCCUAGACCUCACUAUUCCUACUAUACUUUUGGAACCCCCUCUAGCCCCCCCCCCCCUAGGAGACGUACGCUUUGGGCUUUCACCCCUUGACCCAUAUAAGUACUCAAACUCAGUCUCGGACUCGAUCUUGGAUUCGAUCUCGGACCUGACUUUGGACUCAGUCUCGGAGUUGAUCUCGGACCCGAUCUCGGACUCGACUUUGGACUCGACCUCGGACACAGUCUUGGAUCUGAUUCAGAUUUCAGACUCUAUCUCAAACUUGGUCUCGAACUUGGUCUCUGAUUCGGCCUCAAACUCAAUCCCGGACUCUAUCUCGAACUCAGUCUUAGAGUCGGUCUUGGACUCGAUCUCCGACACGGUCCCAUCUAAUGAACUCUUUGUCAUUUCGGUCAUGCUUUGGGGGAUCCUUUAGCCUACAAGACGUCAGGGAGUUGGUUCCUUACAACUCCACCACCCAUAGAAGAAGUUUGAUGCCCACAUCAAAUGUCUCUUUUUAUCCUACGACUUGUUGACCAUGUCUCCUGGGGCAUCCCCCAAAUUAGCGGUGUGCCUAAGUUAGCCUCUCCAGCCAAGAGCCCAUGACAAUGGAAUAUAAGUGUCCCUAUACCCCUCACCCCACCACGCCCUAGUAUGGGGUUGGGACUUGAACCUAGCCUUGCUUUACUAGGGGGUUGGGACUUGAACCCAACCUUCGUAGAAUAUGUCUACGAAUUCGACAUCCCCGUGGGGAGUUGGGCGUAGUUCUUUACGCCUGAUCGACCUAGCUAACCCAUGCUAAUUAGCUUACCUUCGGCGCGCCUUCGGGUCCCAAUAUAUGCCAUUGCUCAAUGUCACAAAUUGAUACUUUAAUUGAACUUUGCAUAAGUACAUAGAGUUCUGCCUUGCAGAAAUUCCUCCACUAGAUCUCGCACGUUUGCUAGGUUUUCCUCCGGUUCCGAUGUUGCUUUGCAGUGUGGAAAUCCUUUCCACUUCAUAUGGAACUCUCUCAUCUUGCGUCCUUGUCGCUUGCUCUUGCAUGCAUUGAGGAUAGCCUUGACUUCGUAUUCCUCUUCCCCUUGGAUAACCUCAGGUAAAGGUCUUACUUAGUCCUUGCAAAGCGGAUCCUCAAAGUAUGGCUUGAGUAAGUUCACGUGGAACACUAGGUGCAUCUUCCCCAUCUCUCGAGGAAGUCGGAGACGGUAAGCCACUUUAUCGAUUUGUGCCUCAAUCUCAUAAGGCCCCACGAACCUGCUUAAGGAACUCAAGAUCAAUUCAUUUACAGGAAUACAUGCAGUUUUACCUUUGGGUCAACUUUCGGCUGAUCCCACUUGGUAGCCUGAGGUUCUUGGUGUUCAGCCACACCUUCUCCCCAGCUUGGAACUCUAAAUCCUGGCGCUUUUGGUUCGCGUACCUGGUUUGCCUUUGUUGAGCCCAUUCCAAGGAAUCCCUCACUAGAUUCCAAAUGUUGAGUUUUUCUGCCGUGAAUGCCUCCACUGCGGGUAACUCUCCAUGAGACUCGGCCAUGCCGAGUUCCACAGGACCUUCAAUAGCUCGCCCAUUGAUGACUUCCCAUGGACUCACCCCGAUACUCAAAUGUGGUGAGUUGUUAUAACACAUUUCCGCAAGUCCCAAAUGACUUACCCAAUCGGUCUGGUCUCCCAAGACAUAGCAUCGCAAAUAAUCCUCCAACUGCCUAUUCACCCUUUCUGUUUGUCCGUCUAUCAAGAAGUGUUAGUGCCAUCAAACUUGACUUAAUACCCAAUACCUGUCUGUGGGUGAUAGGCUGUGCUGAAUUUCAACUUGGUGCGAUACUAUUCCAAGAGAGUUCUCCAAAACCUACUAAUGAAGAUCUUAUCUCGAUCUGAGAUAAUCUCUUCUGGCCUUCUCCGCACUUGAACCACUUGUUCGAAGAACAACUUUGCCACGCCUUCCGCAUCCACUUCCGUUGUGGUGGGUAUGAAAUGUGCCAUCUUCGAAAAUCAGUCCACCACCACGAAUAUUACAUUGAACCCCUCGCUUGGGGGGAGUUUCGUGAUGAAGUCCAUCGUAAGACAUUUCCAAGGAUGAUAUAGAAUUGGGAUACUUUGUAACAAGCCCCCACUUGCCUUAGUCAUGGCUUUGACUUGCUGACAUGUUGGACAUGUCUUAACAUAGUCUUGGACGUCCUUAGCGAUAUCUGGCCAAUGAUACUUCCUCUUGAGUAAGCCCAUCGUCUUGGGCACUCUACUGUGUCCCACAAGAGAUCCAUCAUGACAGUCUUCUAAAGCUACCUUCCUUAGUUCCCCUUCUAGAAUAUACACCCUCGUUUGCUUGUAAUAGAUGAGUCUGUUGCAUUCCGCAUAGCUUAUUUUCUGUUCUGUUGGCAACUCACCUCUCUGGUGAGCUUCCUAUGCCUCUAGAUUCCUCAGCAACACUUCUUGUGCUAGACCAUCAUUCUCAUAUGCUGUCCGCACAUCAUCCCAAAAGGUUGCUAUCGCGUUGGAUAUCGCUAACUUCAAGCUCGCAUUUCGACUUAGGGCAUCCACCACGAUGUUACUCUUCCUAGGCUUGUAUAGAAUCUCACAAUCAAACUCAGCCAAAGCAUUGACCCGUUGACCUUGUUUCCCUCUCAGAUCGGGCUGUGACAAGAAGUGUUUCGUUGCCACAUUAUUCGUGUAAACCUUGAAGUGUCUCCCAAGGUAGUGUCGCCACUCCUUGAGCGCCUUGACCACUGCAUACAAUUCCUUCUCGUGGGCAGGCCACUUCUGUUGAGCCUUGUCCAACUUCUUUGAGAAGAACGCUACUGGAUGGUUGUCUUGCUUCAAAAUUGCGCCUAACACAAAGUCUGAAGCAUCCAUUUCUACCUCAAAGUCCUUACCAAAGUUUGGUAAUGCCAACACGGGAGCCUUCCUCAACUUCUCUUUGAGGUGGACAAAUGCCACUUCGCAUUCUGCUGUUCAUACCAUCUUCCCUUUUCCCAUUUGGUCCAUUAAGGGCAGAGCUACUCUUGAAUAGUGUCUGAUAAACUUCUGGUAAUAGUUGCAUAGCCCCAACAAUGCCCUUAACUUGUGUACAUUUGAUGGUCGCUCCCAAUCCUGGAUCGCUUGGACCUUCUCAGGGUCCACUUUAAGCCCGUCCUUGCCCACCACAUGCCCGAGAAACUUUACCUCUUGUUGAGCAAAGUUAUAUUUGCUCUCUUUAGCAUACAGCUGAUGUUCCCUUAGUUUCUCAAACACCUUUAUUAAGUGUUCGACAUGCUCCUCUAGUGUUUCGCUAUAGAUCAAGAUGUCGUCAAUAUAGAUGACCAUAAAGUGAUCCAGAUAGGGUACAAAGAUGUGGUUCAUCAACGCCGAAGACAUUGCUGGUGCAUUGCAUAGCCCAAAGGGCAUCACCAGAAACUCAAAGCUCCCAUACCUUGUUUAACAAAUUGUCUUCUUGACAUCUUCCUCUGCUACCCUGAUCUUGUAGUAUCCUGACCUUAGGUCAAUACUCGAGAAGUAUUUUGCCUUUCCCAACCUAUUGAACAGUUCCUCAAUCCUUGGCAAAGGGUAUUUGUUCUUCUUUGUAUACUUGUUGAGCAACCGGUAGUCUAUGCAUAUGCGCAUAGAUCCAUCUUUUUUUUUCACAAAUAACACCAGUGCCCCAUAUGGCAACUUGCUCAACCUAACAUACCCUUUGUUCACCAACUCCUCUAGUUGGCGCUUGAGCUCCUCAAUUCCUUUUCGUUCAAAUGAUAGCGGGGACGAACCACCGCCUCAGCACCCUCGACCAGCUCAAUCUUAUGUUCUAUCGAUCGUGCGGGGGCCAAUCCCGCCGAUAGCUCCUCUGGCAUGGUAUCCUAGAAUUGGUCCAACACCUGCUGGAUCACUAAAGAUACUUCUUCCAUUCCCAUUUUUUUGUCACUCUUCACCGAGAGUAAGCACAAAAAUGCUACCUUGGUUCCUUUAGUGAGUUUUCCUCUUGUAGACACCAGGUUUAGGUAGGAAUCUUUGGCCUUGCAUUGCCCUACCUUUAGAUCUUGGGCCUCUACCUUUAGAUCUUGGGCCUCCACCUUGGAUCUUCUUCCUUGGGCAUUCGCUAGUACCAUAAGGUUCUUACUUUGUCCAUGCAGGGCUACCAUGAACCAAUUGAACUAAUCCAACCCGAAGAUUACGUCAAAUCCCGCCAUGUCCAACACGGUGAAAUCCAUGUCUACUUUCCAUGUCCCUACUUCGACUCUCGCUUGUCGAAGUACCUCAUCGGUGCUAUAGCUGCCUUGAACAAACUCUAUAGUCCUUGGUUCGCCCAGCCGCUACACCGUUAGUCCGGCUUGCCGGACUAUGUCUGCAGCCACAAAAUUAUCCGAAGCACCCGUGUCAAUAAAGAUCUUAACAAAGCUACCUCCGAGCUUCCCUCGGAGGGAUAGUAGAUGUCGCGAACGACUCUCUACCAAAGUUGCUCGUGUAAUGAGUAACUUUGAGUUAGGGACUGGAUCAUAUACCUCAGUUUGGAUUUCACCGAACUUAAUGGCCAUAUUGGCUCUAGCCUUCUCCGGGUAGGGACAUUCCCUCGAGAAGUGUCCCCCUUCACCACAGUUGUAGCAUACGUUGUUUCCCAUGCUGCUAACCGACUUGCCCUUCUUAUCCGUGGGUUUGUCUCUUUUUGCUUGACUCCCCCACAUGCUCGCUCGCUGGCCACCGGAUCUACCUUUUCGGAACCCUGAGGACUCAUUAUUAGAGAAAUUGUUUUUGAAUUUGCCUUUGCUAUAUGUUCCCCUUAGUUUGGCCCCUUUGCUAAAUGUGGACCCCGACCCUGUCGCGUUCCCCUUUCGCAGGUUAUCGUUGAAAUGCACCUUGAUAGCCGCAUCCAACGCUUCUUUUUAAUUGGUCGGGUUCCAACGCAUCACCUCGUUGCCAGCCCAGGUUUGCAAGCCUAAUAUGGAGGCAUAGAACGCAUCCAUAUCACUCAUAUUCGUUACCAAUAUCCUCUUUGCCAUAAAUCCAUUCACAUACUCUUGAAUGGUUCCGGUCUGCUUCAGCUUACUCAGCUCAUCCCUUAGGUGCAGAGUAGCAUUUGGAGGAACGUAUGUCGCGCGGAUCCUUGCCUUUAUCAUUUCCCAAGUGGCCACCGGUCCUUCGUUGGCCUCCGUCGUUCUCCACCAAGACUUGGCAUUAUCUGCCAAGUAUGGUUUUGCACAAAGGACCUUCUCUGAGCUCGGUAACCACAACGCUCGAAAGUAGUCGUCCAUAUCAUAAAACCAAUCCUCCACCACCUUAUAGUCGUUCACUCCCUUGAAGACUGGUGGGGGCUUUGGUUUGUACUUAGGAACUGCCUGAGGGACUGAUUCCAAUUUGGUCUGUUUGACCUUGUUUAGUUCAGCCUCAAUCCCUACCGAAGGGUCCGCACCUUUUGCGCUACCAACAUCUGCAGUCUUUCACUUUUUCUUCUGCUUCUCCUCACGCUUCAACUUGCAUACGAGAGUCUCCAAUAGGGCAUUGGUCUGUGCCAAUUGUCCUUUUAGAAUGUCCAAUCGAGCCUUGGACGACCAAACCUCGCCACCAGACUCCUGUUUGGAAGUUUCCUCACUGUCCUCAUGCAAAGAUUCCUCAUCUAUAGCCUUUUGUUCGACCAGAGGCUCCAGCUCUGGUAGAGGUUCUGUCUCCACCUUGGUUCGUUUUCACUCUGCCUUUGUCAUCUCCCAGCAAUUCACCUCUAUCCUUCGCUAAAACUGAGGAAAAUCCUCCAAUACCAUAUCUAUCCGAUUAACACUGCCUUGGCUUUUGCUAAGUUCCUUUGCCAAGGUUCCCACCUAUUGUACCAGCUCCUACUUGGUCCUACUUGGUUUCAGCUACUCACUACAUGAGCAAUGGAGCAUUAGCCAUCCAUCCACGGAUUCCCAAAUCUCUCCCAAUCCCCCUCCCCGGGUUAGACUGGAUUUAAGGUUCGGCUACACUCCCCGUAGGCACAAGCAACCAAGCACACCAAGCCUCCAAGUUUUUAACAUCCCUUGGUACAACAAGACUUGAUCAUGGGACCUUCUAAAUCCCAAGCCUUGGGUGCAACACUUGCUUCAGGACACCAGGGAGAAACACCGUGGCCUAACGGCCCAGUAUGGGUACCUCUACCCCCCCACUUCUAUCCCAAAGGAAAGGCUCAAGCCCCUAAGAAGGGCGAGGACCAAUGAGCCACAAGGUACUCAAGUGGGGCACCACUCCACAUGAGCUGGGAGCACCGCAGUCGGUUUCCCUUUCGGGAGUGGGAGCUGCUCUUGAGCACUUCCCUGGGUGGCCAUUCCGGCACCACCCAAGCCCAUGCUCACUCCCACCCAAGGCCCCUCGGCCCCAAUCUCAACCUCAAGUCAGUUUGGAAGCACCACUGGAGAGUUCCUUCAAAACUAGUUCUUGGACCUCACUAUCCCUACUAUACUUUUGGAACCCCCUGCAAGAAACGAACUAUACUUUUGGAACCCUGAGUGAAACGAACAACAGAGCAAACCCUAGGCCAACCUCCCAACCCUUAAGGCAUUACAGCCACAGGGCAUAGAAUAUUCUUGGAAUAUUCCUGUGGUUCGUGUCAUUUUCCCCUACCUCAUGACCGAGUCACAUACGGCAGCCUUGAGAAGUUAAACGAGCCUCACAUGACGGGAGUCCAAGGCAAUACAGCCAUGGAAAAAAAAAGUGCAAACAGCAACACCAACCUUGCGACAAACAAUCAUGAAAGAAAGAAAGCAUUACGGCUUUCUUACAUGACAAUACGGUCAUGAAAACAAGAGAAUGACAAUAGAACAAAUGGCUCAAAUUAUAUAGCAAUACGGCUAUAGAACUCAAUUUUCCCCUUCCUCAGGAAUGUCAUCCAAGUCAUAAUUAAAACUCGGAAACACUCUCUUCAUGUCAUCCUCAGUUUCCCAUGUAGCUUUGUCCAUAGAAUAACUAUUCCAUUGAAGUAACAACUCCUUAGUUGUUUUCCGGCGUGUUUUCACCAAUCUUUGAGCAAGAAUAUUGGCCGAACCAAUCUUCUCUGCAUCAAUCUCAUGCUGAAUGCCACAUUCAGGAGCCAAACCAUCAAGUAACUCAUCCGGAAAUACGUCACAGAACUCCUCCUGAAUGGAAUCCACCCUAGCCCCAUGCCCACGAACGCACUGCAAAUCAGACAUGAUUAUAUUAGAAAGAAACAGGUACACCACAAAAGAAUUAGCUAUCUCAUGCAUGCAUGUCACCAACUCGAAAGUGUUAAUCAAUGGAGUAUCACUAUUUUCUGUCCCGACAAUCUCUUUUAUAGUGCCACCAACUUCAAUACGCAGAACAUUACGCUCCCAAUCGAUCCCUGGCUUCCUGUCAUAAAACCAUUCAUUCCCAAGAAUAACGUCUAUGCAACCAAGAUCCAUAACCUGGAACGAAGGAUGGUCGAGAAUCCCCUGAAUUGUCAAAGGAACACUUGAAGCCCAUUCACCGUAAACAUGAGUGCUAUGUCCAUCUGCCAUAACCACCUUGUAGAUUACUAAACUAUUUUUUCAUAGGCAAACCAAGUUUCUUCACCACCUUGGAGCUCAAAAAGUUGUGUGUAGCACCUGGAUCGAAAAGAAUAUUAACAGCAUUACCCUAAAUGUCCCCCUUGGCCUUCACAAGUUGAUUGUGCAUAGAACCAUUAAUCUUGACAAAGUUGAUACGAACUUGAGAGUUAGAUUCUUGAAUUUUUGCCAUAGGGUGUGGAAAAGCCACCACAGCAGAUGCCUAAGUUGUAUCCACAAGAGAUUCCACCACAUUCACCUUAGCAUUCUUUGAUCCCUUUACAAGAGGACAAUCCUUGCCAUGAUGUCCAACCUUAUGACAACGAAAGCAAUUGCCCUCCACUUUGUCCUUUUCUCAUUGGUCUAACUGAUGUCUUUUUGCCUCAUUACCAUCUCCACUCUUCGAACUAGGACAAAACAAUGGCUGUUUCUUCCCUGAAGAUGAAGUAUUGGUAGGUGAGUCAUCAUGUUGACCAAGUUGACCGAUAGUUUGGGUGAAAAGAUUUGAGCCUUAGUGAUAGCAUCAGUCAAUGUUGCUGGAAAAUCCUUCUUGACCUUCUACUACACAUCCACUGAGCUCAAU
rnacentral:lncRNA from 1 species